rnacentral:lncRNA from 1 species
UUUAUGUUAAGGGUAGAAAAGAGAGUUGGGACUCGACUGAAGAAUGAAUGAAAUCGUAGUCCUAUUUCUGCUGCGCUAAGUCCUGAUUGUCCUGCUUGCUGUAGCUCCUCUUUAGUCGGAUAGUCCCACUGUAGCUCCUUCCCUUGUUGUAGAGAGAGAGGUUUUUGUCCUUCCCGAGCCAAGUAGUGAGUCGGCCUAUUCUUCUUGUCCUGCUGGAGCUCAAGCAAAGUACUCUCGUGAAAUACCUGUUCCAAUUCUAGGAUCUGGUAAGGAAGCAGAAUCAAGAAAGUAGACAUCAACGAGAUCAUAUCAUAAUAUAGACUAUUGGCACCACUAUCCCAAACGAUCUAUCUAAUCUUAACUGCUUACAGAAACUAGAAACUUGAAGAAGAAGAUAAUAUCACGUUCCACAUACAUAUGGAAUGAAGUAAAAACACCUCAAUGCUAUCCUUUUGCUUCCAUACUAUAUUACAAGACUGCUAUCCUUUUCUCUUUUUCACUCUAUAAUGUUCUAAUAUUUCUCAGAUACGGAUCCUGUUUCAUAUAAUACUCCUGAUUCUUUACCUAUUUCUAUACUAGACUCCCUUUCCUUUCCCUUUGAUUUUGGCUACUUGACCUCUCCUUGAAGUUCAGAAUUCAUUGAAUCUUUCCGAGUCGUUUAACCUAUGCCCAUGUUUAAGGACUGGGGGCGUAAGAAGGUCGGGCAAUUCUCUAAGUCAGGCAAUCGAUUUCUUUUCAUAUGAUUAAAGUAGAACAGAAAGCCAAUGGAACAGCUCAAUCCUCUGUCUAAUUACCAAGUUGUUCUAUACUUGACUAAACUAGCUUCUUUCGAACAGCUUCUUCAGUAGGGAAAGCUAUGACCACCUUGAUUACCUGCUGACUUUCGAAUGGAAUCUUUGACUUGCGCUAACGGAGUGUAGUCGGCCAACACUGAUUCAUUAUCAGGUCGACAAACUGAUGAAACUAUACCACAAGGAGCAGAUCUCGCAUCUGAUCUUACAACAUAAAGAAACUAGUCUACAACACUUGUGGAAUGUCAUUGCCUCUCAAGAACUGGAAUGGUAGCUUCAGAUCCUUUACUCUCUUCUGCUAACUCGAAAUCAGGUGUUGUAAUAAGUUCAUCUUAUGAAUGGAGUGUACCUAGUAUAGACCCAUGGAGCGGUAACAACACAUCUGACUUUAGGGAAAACUUAUAGACCUACGGUAGGAUACGGAGUUGAGAGAAUUCGCUGUAGAAAGUAAGUAAGGCACGGCACUCGAAAGAUUCAAUCCAAUCCUUUGCUCGAACUCAAUUUCUCCUCUUAAUACAACAGAUUCAGUUGUUCCUACUCCUUCUAUUGUUCUAGCCUCUGAUCAAGUAUCUUCUCCAUUCUCUUGUUCGCACAGAGAAUCUAGUUUAUUUACCUACUCCGGGGACAGUCUCUCCAUCUUCUCUAAGCCAAGACCGGAACUCAUAUUUGUGGUUUUCCAUUCUUCAAUUCCAGGUAUCAAACGGAAUUCUUAAAGGCAGAAGGAGCACACGGUUGGUUUAGAGCCCAAGAACACACGGUUGGUUAAGAGCCCGUGGUGGAUUACCUCAUUAUAUAAAACAUGGCUAAGUCCUAUCAUUCUGAAAUUGCGUACUGCGCUAAGUAAACUAGAUUCUGCAAUUCAAACGGAAAGAACACUUGGUUAGUUACCCGGUUCUAUGAGAUCCCUCUGGCUAAUUAUUCCCGGACUGGGUGUUGAGUAAGUACAUUCGAAAUCGUACCCUAGCGCUUCAAAGCCAGAGUACUAUCCUUGCCUUGCACCCUCACUCAUUCACUCCCCGCUUCUGACCAAUACCCAGCUUAGAAUUCUUUACCAACUUAAUAUCCCGGUCUCGCUCUUGGAACUGUGCAUCCUCACCGGAUUCUGUUGUCGGUGUACACUUCCCUGCUCCUUUACCUGCCUCCAAUCCUUCCUACCCUUACCUUCAUUCUGAAACUAGACCUUCCCAUAUAAGAGAAAGGUUCCGGGUUAAAUCACUUAUAUAAGAGAAGGUUCCGGGUUCAAUCACGUAUAUAAGAGGUUCAAUCACUUAUAUGUUUGGUUUCCAUUCAAUUAGUUCUCUGUCAUCUCUUGGUUGAUCCCUUGCAAAUAAGACGGAAUUUCAUCUAGUGUGUUUCUACGUUCCAACUGUUUCUUUUCCUGACUUAGAGUAAAUCCAACCCUAUACUCUCGCAUUCAAAACAAUAACUACGCUGACAACAAGGAAUUAGGAAACGGAAAUCAAGAUAGUAAAGUAGGAUUUUCAGAAUGGAAUUGAGGAGCAAUAACAAGAUCCGGAGUUGUAGUUAAGUAUCCAAGAUAACAUACAAGAAUAAGUGUAUUUCCAGAAUUCUAUACUAUAUCCCUUUGGCUCAAUAAGAGAGAUAUUAAUGGAAAUGAAACAAUCAACGGAACCAGCAAGCUCAAGCGCAUCUGUACUGAAGCUUAAUACUUGUUCUGGGCACGGCAAAGCGGGACAAUCCGAAAGUGUUGGCGACUCGAAUCCCAGUUCUGUAAAUGGAAUUGAGGCAUCCAUCCCUACUAGGUUGAUAAGUUAAGCACCGAACCUUUACUUCGCAACGUUACGUUUCUAUACAACACACACUGCAUCCCUUUCUUUUGUCGACUUCUCCUGCAUAAGUAGUAUCAAUCCCUUUCUUUUGUCGACUUCUCCUUCAUAAGUAGUUUCAACAGAAUAAAAAGAAACUAGAUAAGGAUAAAAGGCUUUAGCAUAAGAAGAAGCUUUAUCCGGAUAAAGAGGCUUGAGCAAGUAGUUAUUCCGUUUCUGCGCUCGAUGAUACAUUCCAUUCAUUCUUUUUGUUGCGGGAAGGAACUAAAGGUGGAGUUCGGGAAGGGAGUUGAUAGUUUACAGAAAAGCUAAUAAACAAGUAGUAGAUCCAAAGAAAGCAAGAGAUGAGUCAAGUAAGUCGUCAGCAAAAGAUCUGGAUCAUAAGCCAUUACUAGUUUUCCUGGCGCUAGUUCAAGUCCAGUUUUCUCCUUGGUUCACGAAAAAAAGAGAAGUGGACCUGAGCCCGCGAUAGCAAGAGGAACCAUAGACUAAAGAGAAUAGAAAUGAGUCAAUGAAGACUUUCUUUAGGACUGAAGCCGAUCCUUUAGUAGAUGCCACAGUCACGUCAACUCAAGUAAGCGUUAGCGCCUGCAUACUCACUUCACUUCACUUUACUUUUCUCUUGCUUGCCACAAUCCUUUCCAUUAUAAAGGAAGACCAACCAAGACUGACUUGGGAAGACUAACCAAGACUGACUUGCAGGGACUAAUUCCUCGCUUGCAACUACUUUAAUAGAGACUAUAUCUAUGACACCUUAUUCAUUAUAUACUAUAUCUAUGUUAUUCAUUAAUUACUUUAUCUAUGACUCUAUGACACCUUAUUCAUUAAUAGAGACUAUAUCUAUGACACCAGAAGGGCAGGGAACAUACCAUACCAAUAACAUACUAUACUCUACGGUCGGCAAUAACAUACUAUACUCUACGGUCGGCUAGGAAUGAGGAAGCCGUCAAAGCCCCUCGACACCCAUAUAGGGAGAAUUGAGCAUCAAGAAAAGCACGAGAUUGAUGAUCCAAAAGAAACUAACAACACUUUGGAUUUCAAGAAGGAGCAGCUAGUAGUCCUUCCUUAUCAUUCUUCAUAACUUAGACUCUCAUAUAUGACCGAUGAAGGGCUGAAAAGGAUGUUUCAAUCGAAGCUUCUUGGGUAGGAUCUUUGCGCCAGAUAGUGGGGAGUUUCCUUCUCUCUGUCCCUAUACCCGAAUCGUACCUAUUCCAUUGGUUACCCGAAUCGUACCUAUUCCAUUGGUCAAGGGCUAGCUCCCCUUUCUCUUCCCCAAUUUAGCAGAAUGAGUAGGAGCUGUGCUUUUACGCGAUAAAGAAAGACGAACACUUGUGGCUUUUACCCUUGGCCCAACAAACUAAUGCAGUAAAUGAGCCGAUCAAUGAUUGCGCGAGGGAAGAUAGGGGUUGGGGAAAGACAAGAGAACUAAUUGAUGAAACCUACUCUCCAGGACAACUUCUUGCGGCGCUUUUCUACUUAUAUCAUAAUAGACGGGUUUAACCAUACAUACGAGCACUGGCUGGGAAUGCCACUACUGGGAUUUAUACGAAGGCAGGUGGGAAUGGGCCUGUAGAUCCAAAAAGAAAGAUGUAAACCCUAUUUAUUGCAAAGAUAGUAAGAUAACACUGCUGACAUAUUAAAUAAAGUAACAAAACAGCUUCAAGUUUUCUGACAUAUCACUUUCAUCACUCAUAUCGGUCUCUGUUGUUUGAGGGAAGAAUGGUCUUACUCAAAGGUUCUGCCUGCUCAGUUUGCUGUCUUUACUAAUAGCUCCGAUAGAAUCUCUUUUUGCGGUGAUUAGACUAGAUCAGUAAGAAAAUGGUAUCCAAACCUGUAAAUGGCUAUCUUAUUCUUCAUGGCACCCUUGUGUAUUGACAUGAGGAGUGCCUUUUCUCGAGAUUGUUGGCAUCCAAUUGUAAUCACAUCUCAUGGUGAAAGAGAAGGGAACGAGACUCAGGGCGGUCACCCACCUGUAAGAUAUAAGAAAAUGCUAUUCCAACCCACCAGGAGGAGAGAGAUUAGCUAGUUGCAAGAGGAGAUGCGAGAGAAUAUACAGUGCUUGUCAAGUCUAAGUUCGGUGCUUGGCUUGCUUUAUGUUAAGGGUAGUUUAGUUCGGCUCUUCAAGGGGAGUAUCUUAGUUUGCUGGUUUUCCCUUGCCUUAAGCUUGUUCCGUUGUUUGUUGCCUUCACAGAGCAGAGACCUUAAGACGAGACUAAAGGCUUUUGGCUUAACCGAGUUAUGGUAGGUAACACCUUUGCAUGCUUGGUUUGACCGAGUCGUGAGUUGGUUCAAGGAUCAAGUUGGCAAUUCCGUUUGUUUUGUCUUGCUUGUGUCCAAGUGUCAUAAAGUGGAGUUCCAGCAUUGGCUUGACCGAGUAAAGAAAGAGUCAACAGUGAGAUUACCGCGUACGCUACGUGGAGUAAUAGAUGGAAUAAGUGAGUUUUAGUUCUUAUAUAUGUGAUCUAUGUGAGUGAAAUGCUUUUAAACAAGUUAAGGUCCAAUAAUAGUAUAGGACUUUCAAGCAAGGGUAGCAAGUCAAGUGUGUUUUCGUAUCGGCAUUAUAAGGAGUGCAAGUCAAGUGUGUUUGGGGGAUCUGAAUCCGUAUUUGUUGAAGAGAAUGAAGAAGCUGUUCCGCCUUCCAGUUUUGUGUUUGAGUUGAAAGCUUACGCGAGUUCUGCGCACCCAUAAUCUAUAUAGUAUGAUUUCGUUCCGGCUAUCCGAACUACCUUAACAGAGACAAUAGCUUGUUCCCCUUAUACUCCCAACGCAGUUAGUGCUGAUAUAUGAGUGGAACUCACACCCCGUCCACGCCCGAACCUUACCUUAAUGAGAGAAUAAGUGGCCUUAGUGAUGCUUGUGCGAAUCUAAUUGUAUAUGGAAGCCGAGAAUCAACAGUCGAAAGGUGUUACACGGAGCGGUUAAGGUCAUAAUCAAUUCCUUCUGAUGAAGCUAAUGCAGAGAAAGGAACGAAUAGGCUCUGUUGCCCACCGAAAGUAGAGUUCACCUUCCAAAUCAAAGAAGUAAUAAUAUGACUAACAAAAGUCAAAGGUCAAAUCACGUAUUGGUGCUUGGUAUGCGAGUUAAGUAUUGGUGCUUUCACUGGACCACAUAAAGGUUAGUCGAAAGUAAGGGUAUAAAGCUUUAAAGGUUGAGUAUGGAGGAGAGUUUAUAUAGAAUGUCUUUGGGAAUACCUCAAUCAUUAUUCUUUUCUUCAAGUAUGGAGGGUUCGAGGAAAGGAAACUUCAGCUCGACAAAAAGAGAGGAAAGGAAAGUUGUAAAGAUCAGUUUCAAGAUCUUCUGCUGUAUAGAUUCGGCUUGCUUCGUAAACAAGGGGAGUGAAAGUUAUAGUUUCAGAAGCAGCAUCUGAGGCAGGAUAAUCCGCUGUAGAAAGUAAGUCAUCAAACGAUUCUUCAAGUAUAGUUUUGUAUCAGCAGCAAGCGGUAGACCAGACCAGGCAAUUCCAUCAGUGUCUUGUUAACCUUUUGAAUGCCCACGUAGCUUGGCGCAAGGUUUAGUAUCAAGUAAGCUGCAUAGACUGGAUAUGAGGCUGGCUAAAGUGAGUUACAAAGAAAGUAUAGUUAAGGUAAAAAGCUGGAUCAGGUGUUUAAGCGGGAAGGAAGUUCGUUUUCUUUUCAAUUCCUCUCUUAUAUGACAUGGAGUCGAAUCCCAAUCUUCAACUUUACCCUUUUCACUCAGACAGGAGUACCGAUACUGACUUCAAGUAUUCCUAUCUAAACUAAAGAAUAUAAGUUUACUGGUAGACGGGAAAGACAGAGAUGGGUUUACAGCCCAGCCCGCUAACUAAGUUAAGUACUCUCCAUCAGGUGUUCAAACCGUUGCUAAGUAUUAGCUUGUCCCGAUUCUUGCUCUAGUACUGUUGCUUGCCCAGCGGCUAAAGGAUCCGAAUCCGUGGUGAAAUAAUGAAAAAGUGCUAGUGGUAGGUCGGAACCAAGCAAAGACAGGCUAAAGAGAUGGUAAAGCAAGGUCCUUUUCCGCAGUGAAAGUAUUAGCCGGCAGUAGUCAAUUCAUAGUUUUGAGCUACAGCCCCGUUAGCAGCAGUUCGGGUGCGAGAAGCACCGGUGCUAUUCCUGUCCGCGCCAGUGCAAUUAUGAUUAGCUUUAGGUCUAGUCUUUCUUUUUCUGUCCAGGUGUUAGAGUUAUGUCCGGGAUCCCUACCUUAUAGCUCGAUCCCUUAUUUCUACUUUGAUUAUGUUACUAAUGAGUUGGAUUCCUACUUAUGAGGUUGUCUCUGACUUUCCCACUCCUGAGUGCAAUUCUAACUAGUCUCAUUCCGACUUCCCUUGCCUCUGAGUUGCUUCCUGAGUCUACUUAGUUUCAUUCUGAUCUCUAACUUGGGAACUAUGGGGAGUUAACUCUACGACUAAAGGCUCGGCUCCAGGUGGUAUUGGUUUAAGUCUUGAUAGUAGUAGUUCUAUUCUGUUACUGACUAGUUCAAUUCUGACCUUUCCUACUAGCUCAACCGAGGUUCAUUCUUGGUGCAAAAGGGUUUGAAGUCUGAAGUAGUACCCUAAUAGGCAGGGACGGUGGAGCAAGUCAAGGGAAUCGGUAGGCUUGGUAUUAGUCUUGAAGUUAGUGCUUUCAUUCAGGCUUAGUAGCUGUUGUUGAAGCCUUUGCCCUAGUGGGUUGGUUCUUAGUAGCUGCUGUCUCAGCAAUUAUAAUAAGGUUGGUGUGAGUUGAAGGCUCGCUCUCUCUUGUUUGAGUCUAUCCCUCCUUAGCUGCAGGCUUGGAAGCGGUGUUUGAAGUCUUGCUGGCACUAGUGGAAGGCUUGCACCGGUCAGCUUCAUUCUCUAACUCCUUAGCUACAGCCUGUAACUCCCUGGGUUAAGUCUUGAUAGCAGUGGUGGAAUUCUUAGACACCCGAGUAGAAUCCUAAAUGUAAUCCUUAAUAAGAAGAGAUAGAAUUUAGUAGUUAAUUAGUAGAGAUCAGAGCCACACAAUUAUAUCUUUUGAUCAUUGCUUAACACAAGCACUAGACCUAGCGCACAUCUCCCUGAAUUCUGACUUUCCCUUAAGGGCAUGCUAUAUAAAUACGGGUGGAAUUGACACCCCGACCCGUAAUCCUUAGUUUGAGCACCCUAGCACUAAAGUGAUCUUUCCACUCUACCACACAGAUAAGUACUGCCGCUAGUGCCACUUAACUAUUUGCUCCUCUCUUGCUUCUUUUGUAACACCAGAUAGAUGGUUGCUUGGCCCGGACUCAUGUAUUGGUAUUAUAACACCUUAAGAUGUGAGUCAGUUGUUCUUUAGUUCCCGGUGCCCAAGUAGAAGAAUGAGGCUGUUGAAAGAUCCCCUCUUACUAACGCUAUACAUUAGUGGUCGACCAGAGAAGAAAGAGCAUCCGCAGUUUCAAGGUAUAGUUAUAGUGUUGGCGACUCGGAACCCUAAUGCUUUUUGCACCCUAUUCUUAAUUGAGCCUCUUUUCCAGUGUGACUUCCACCGCUCAACCUCUGCUUCCUGCUAAAGACUAAAGGAAUAUCAGCUUCACUCGGUUCUUAAAGUCUUGUUUGUUGAGAUUGAGGUUCUUCUUCACCGACACAAUCACUUCUCUACUUUAUACUUCUGGAAUAAGAUUUCAAAACAUAGGGAAUGUCCUCAGAAUUAAUUGAAUCUUUUGAUCCGCGAGGCAAGACUGAAUUUGGAACUCCUUUAGCCGACGCCGAGUCAACAACUUCUGUUAGCGCCUCAAAGCCUGUAGCUUAAGAUUCUUAUAGCAUUGGUUACUGGGUUGGUAAAGAGCACAGGGUUCCUAACGCGCCCCACCCCAAGAGGAAGGAUAGGUCGGGGUUGUCAGUUCAUCAAAUCCAGUUCUGGUAUAGAUUGCUGAGUUGCGGUAAACCAUUGAUUUGAAGCUGUUCUCAAGUCAGCUGCUGUGAGAUGUGAGAGUUGCAGACCGGAGAAGGAUAUUCAUAAGAAACAGGAACCAGAGGCAGAAGCUAAGAAUACAGAAAAAGCCAAGCGUAUACUAGUGGAAUUAGUUUCAUCCCCAUAUUCCCUUGUUUCAUCCCUUGUGUCAGUUGCCAGAGGAACAGAAAUGGGUAAGCUUAUGAAUUGCCAGUUUACAGUUUCAUCUUAUUAUAAAGAAAAGUCUCAAGCAGUAGCGGAAUGAAGUAUCUGAGGCUGUAUCCAAAUCCUUAUUUGUAUCAGAAUACGAAGCGGAAUCGGCUGUGGAAGUAGUUCUGGCAUUGUCUUAGUUCUGGCAUUGUCUUAUUAUAGGUUCAAUAUUUCCUUUCCCCGGUGAACUCACAUAUGUAAGCCAGUGAAAACAGGACAGUACUUGAGCCAAGGAUCGGAUACAGAUGAACUUAGCGCUUCAACUUCCUACAAGUCCUUUGUUUAGCAAGCGGGUAUCUCGGGUUCAAGUAAGCUGUUAGAGCGGAUACAGCAGUAGAUGAUUCAAAAUACCAGAAGAGAGGCAAGUCACUGUAGUAGUAGCAGUUAGAGCAGUUGCAAUAAAGAAAGGUGUAUUGUUGGGUUCUUGUUUUCCUGCGUAACACGGGUGGAUAUCCCUCUUCUUUUCUCCUACUCUAGAUACGGAUACAGCAACUGAUCCUUCAACUGAAACUACCUAUUCUCUCGUCGAUUCAUUUAUAUAGCAAUAGCACAGGUGGGAUACCGCAAGGACAGAAAGAUACUCGUCUCCAACAACAAGAACAAGAGCUGGACUCCUACUACUGGGCAGCUACUACCCGGCUUGGCACUGCUUCCAUUGGACUCCUACUACUGGGCUGCUACUACCAGGUCGAUCAUAGGAUUAUGUUUAGAUCCAUAGCACUUAAUAUAGGAUUAUGUUUAUAAAGACACUCGCAACGAAUACACUCGGUAUUCCACAAUAACAGAAACAUCAUUUCUAACAGAAACAUCAUUUACUGAUCUAGCAUCUAAUCUUUAUUCGACUCCUGCAGAAAUACAAUCAACAGGCAAUUGAAUUGGGCCAGCGGGAUUACACUUGAACUCGAGUAGCAUGUCGUCCGCCCUUACCUUACCUGUAAACCUGGACUACCACUAGUUGGGGCUGGAAACCCGGACUUCUCCUCUUGCUCCUAGUAGUAGCUUUCCGGCUUGGCUCUUACUUGAAACUAACACUCCUGGCUCGGCUCCUGUACAUAAGGUAGGAAUUCUCCGAUCAUAAGAUCUAGUACAGAAGAAUAAGGGAUCUACUAAUAAGAUACUAAAACUAAGGGACCUGUCUGAAACUAACACUCUCAACGGGGGAUCUAACUGCCUAACUAUACGGCUGCGACUACUGAUUCUAAGACAACAACCAGUGCUGGAAAGAAUGACUCUAUUGAAGCAUACUUCCAUUGGAAACUCGGAACCAACUACUAGCUAGUAGGAUCGAACUGUUGCUUCUCGGGCUGCCCUUACUCGCUUCAACUCUAGCUAUCCAUUCUUUGACUUACUUAUUCCAUUAUGUACUCCUACAUAGAGAUACUGGGCUCCUUUACGGAGUAGAGUUCUUGCUUGUGAGUUUUUGUAUCGUACUCCCGGGGUUCAAACAACAUCCCUGCCUCUUAUCCUACUAUUGAAGGACUCGAUGCAGUCUUUUACUUACUUCUCCGAUUCUCCAAAUGCUGGCUAUUAACCUGAUAGGUUCCCCAAUAAGCUUCUAUUCUUUAGCUUCAAUAUCAACAUCAACCUGGCUCUAACUCCUCCGCUACUUAUUCUCAAACUCACUACCUUGCGCUUCAGUCUAUAACCCAGUACUAGUGCUUCUAUAUAGCUACUUCAGACUGAAACAAGUGGUAUCAAGACCAACAACCCUAGUCACUUCCUUCAUAACUACUAACUGCCUUCCUCGCCUAGUAACAGACUUCAUAACUAGUAGUGGGCUUCGGGGAGUCGAUAGGCUUCCUAACAACUAACUGACCUAGCCCAGUAACUGAAUGAAACAACAAUCCCUAGUAUAGGAAUGCAACCAGCCUCCCCUAGCCUUCAUUUCCUUCUUCUCAACCUAUACCUAUUGUUUCAUCCUAUUAUAAAGAAAGAAUAUCAUAGUAUACAUAGGCAAAGAGUGACUUAUACUUAGAGGAGUUGUGUUAAGACUUCAUAGCUCAAUACUCUUAUUAUGUUUUAUACCUGAAUUCGGCUCCUCGCCAGUACUUUACUCUGCCCCGACCUAUCUCCGACAAAGAAAGUACUUAUUCUAUUGAUUUACUAAAUGCUAUACUACUCGUGAUAAGAGAUAUAUUCCAAUUCUGAACUGAAAGUCUAUACGAUUGAAGGCAGAAUCAAAUCGAAAAGAAGCUGCCCGCUCACUAUAGCCCUCCGCUCCAACUCCCAGGUAGCCUAAUUCAGUAUCAACGUCAGUAUCAUCUCAUUCUUUACUAACAGGAGCUCGAACCACAAGUGAAAUUCCCUUAGUUUCAAUUCCACAAGCAGGAGAAGUCCAGUCGACAAAAGAUGGAGCUGGAUCAAGAUCAAGUUAGUCAGCAGUGUUAGAGCCUGUUGAGUUAGGAGUGAGCGGUUCCUCGAACACUAGUGGCCCUGCCGCCCUUAAUGCAGGACUCCCGAAGAAAGGUUAACUCUGGAUGCGGUUAUAUCGUAUUUCUUAUUCAUUCCCUAUUCAUUCUAGUUAAUAAUGUCUUUCUUACUUGCUUUGAUAUGAGGUGUACAAAACCCUCUGUUCGCCUAGUGCUUGUUGGGAAAGUUGACUGCCGCGUAACUAGAACUCGCUGACGCACUUGUUCUUGCGGAACUCCCGUUAGCACAAGUAAAAGAUGCAAAUGCUAUAAGGUAUAUCAAAAGUCAUAUUACUUCUCUAAUGGACUAUAGACCUAUAUUAUCUAAUAUACAAUAGGCGUAGCGCAAGUCCAGAAUCAACAGUUGCUUGUUUGGUGCUAGUUUCUUUAAUCCUAUCAUCCUAUAAGAGGUAUGGGGGUGAAGCAGGGAGAGGUGCGAUAUCUCGGUGUUGCAGUAAGUUCAUAGUCUUCUAGUCCCGCUCUAGCAAGCAAAGUGAGUUCUUGUUGUACGGUUGACUUUCUUGUCGGUUCAGUUCUGCAAGUGGAGUUUGCUUUAGGAAAGUUCGUUUGUGUGCGAGUCGAGUAUCACGGUGUUGUAUCAAGCAAGUGUCUACUAGUAGCUCUCAUAUCGCCCAAAGUGUCUUCACCUAUAAACCCAACAAGUAACCACUAGACAAGUCACUUGUUACGCGUCAUCGAGUUACCUGUUACGCGUUAUAAAAGUUUCAUCAUAUGUAAGAAGAAGAUCUCGGAUCAACUGCAGAAGUCAAGUAUAAAGAAUCAUAAAUAGAAAGUUCGUCAGCAGCAAGCGCUAAGUCAAGAAGAAGCAAGUAACUGUAAUCAAACAAAGAGAGGCGAUAAAGAAGGAGGUAAUCAAACAUAUAGGUAGCUGAACCAGCAACAGAACUGGAUCAAGCAACAAGACUCAGUGCUAAUGUUCCAUUUCCAUUCAUGUUUUCCUCUGCGCUCGAUGUCAAGUCAGUGCCGAUUUCGGGUGCACCAUCUUACAACUAUUUCUUAUUAGAGUAACAAAGGGAAAGCCUAUAUACAGAACAGGAACACGGAUCGGAUUCCACUCAUACAUAAGUCAGAAUGGGAUCUCUCUUGCACACUGAUAGAGGGAUGUCAUAACCAAACUGUUUCUUCCGUUGUUUGUAGAAUGGAAGAAAAGAAUGGAACUGACACGUAAAAGGGAAUAGGAUAGGGUAUGGUCUCGUAUAGAAAGCUUGUAAUAAGGGAAUCCGAGUUAUAGGCCUUUCUUGGGACUUACCCGCUUCGCUUCCUUUAGCCUCUAAUUCGAUAUAAGAUUGAAGUUAAGGUGAAACACCAACCUCUAUAGGAUUCAAGUUGCAAAGAGCUGAACCCCUAUUAGACGUAAAGCCAACAAACACGGAUUCAACAAUCACAGUCAAUUCAUAAGCUCACUUUUGAACGGCUUCAUAUCUUUCUUCCUCACUAAGCAUCUAAUCUUGUUUGCCAACACAGAUUCCACUCGGGAUGCUAAGGGCUAACAUGUGGUAGAGUCAAGUCACUAGAGUCAAGUCACAAGUAUUUCUAUACAAUAUGCUACUAAAAAGCGACUCGCGAUGAAACAGAUGAAACACCCCAACCGCCUCCGGACUCUUUUCUUUAACCUAACUAGAAUAAGGUACUCUGGCUUUGAAGCGCUAAGUGGUCAAUGUUUCUUUGGGUGCUUCUUAAACUGGAGCGAGAAAGUAAGGUGUUUAGGUCAGAUCAUCGCUGGUCACAUAGUCGCCCGAGGUAUUAUAUCAGAUAGUUGCCAUAGUCGCCACCAAGUAUAAGAAAUAACAUCUGAAUUCUCUCUUCUCUGACAUGCCUAGCUCCCUCUUUUUUGUCGGUAGGGAGAAUCAGUGCCCUUACUGGGUUAGUUACAGGGUUCAAUGAAUUGUAGCCCGAGUGAAAAUAGCCAUAGGUAGAUUAGAGUCCAGGUCCAGGCACAGGCCCAACAACAACAAGAUCUGAAGCCGGGGAAGACCUUUAGCUAUCGGGCGUAAGGCAGCUAGGCACUACUAAUCUCUGGAAACACAGAUCUUUCAGCAGCAAGUGGUGAUGUUUUCGUAAUAACUCUUAUUGGCUGCCGUUUUUCAGCUCGCUGACGCUCUUUUAACUCGCUACCGUUUAGCUCAGGCUCCUACCGCACAACGUCCGAGCACAGAUACUGUAAUAACUUCGUUAUGACUUCUGACUAUUGCUGACGCACAACAUUAGCAGUUGUUUGUCCCGUUGCUUGGUCAUUAGUAGUUGCUUGGUCGAACACAUAACUAGUAAUAACUGGGGAACUCUAGCGGCCCUGCCGCGCAACAUUAGUAGUUGCUUGGCCCUAUUGUUGUUACUGCCGCACAACGGCGUAGCCGUUGCUUGGCGUCUAGUCUAAGCUUGGCCCCCAACAAGCAAUGGGAGAGAGGCGAGAAAAGAAGCAAGCUACGUUCGAGUUAAGUCCAUUAGAUCAUCAGUAGUUUCAAGAUCAUAAGCAGUGGGGUAUUUCGGAAACAACUAUCAAUCUGGUCUUCAAGCCUUCAACUAGAAAUCCGCUUUCUCUUGCCUUUACUCGGACAAGGGGUCGGGGUUUCUAUUGCCUAUAAAACAGUGUAGCUCCCCCGCUCCCUUAUGAUGACUUUAGAAUCGACAGAAGCACAAGAUCGGAAGAAACGGAAUCAGGGUAUUGAGCUAGGCAUGCUAGAUCUACUAGGUAACUUCCCUCCCCUUUUGCCGACCUAACGGCUUCUUCUCUUGAUUCUACUCCUGCAGAAAUACAAUUAACAGGCGCAGGACUUACUCAUAACCGCCGGACUUAACCGGAGUUUGCUUGAGAAUUAUGGCUUGAGGUAUGGGAUAAGAGGAGAGAGAGGCUUUGUUGCGAGGUGUGGUCCACAGAAUAGAGUUUUCUACUUAAAGAAUCGAUUGUAGCUGACUUUAUCACUCUCACUGGAACACCGGAUUUAGAGUGGAAUACCGAGUUUCGUCUUCAAGUCCUGUGUUCGCCUUCCUCAUCAGUACAAGAAUCCAUACUUUAUUAAACGCACACAGGUAAGGGGCGGGCCUUAGCUCGCUUGCUUAUUGACUUUCGAGCAGAGGAAUAAGAAUAAGGGAAUAUAGAAUCCGACUACUGCUUUUCCUCCUUUAACUUAGAACUUUGACUUCACUACUGGUAGCUAACUCUUGCUUGACUUUCUUUUGAAACUUAUACUGAUGCUAAUAAUAAUUGAGCUACUACUGGCAAGGACCGAACAGGUGCUAUGAUAGAACCCAACUGCUGGUAACAAGAAUUGAUUACUACCUACUAAGACUUUCAUCACUGUUAGCAAGGCUUUCACAACAAAUAGGGAAGUUACACUCACCCUGACUUUCCGUUUAUAGCUGCUGAACCGGCUCUCAACACCGUAUCCAUGCUUUGAUUCUAACUAUCCUGAUUGACUCUUGCUUUGAGUCUACAUAUCCCCUGCACCUAAUUCUCUGACUUGCUAGGGGGCUGAUCUGCAACUUCGCCUACACCCUAUUAGUAAGUCCGCCUUUCCUGUAACUCAGACUUCCCUUACUGUAUACUUACCUUACUGUAUAUAAGGCUUACUAUCCAACCGAACGAACUAAGUCUCACUUUCCUAGCUAACAAACUCAAACUACCGAUCUGGUUUCUUCUGUUAUACUAGUACAGUCCACCCUACCUCUGACUUUACUGAGACCUAUGAGCCUUCCACCUGGUCUUUCAAUCCAUAUCUCCUUGAUCUCCGCCUGCCCACUCCUUGUACGGGUAAUAAGAAUCAGAAUAGUACUUAAUAGGAAGGUAAUAAGAAUAUAGGAAGGUAAUAAGAAUCAGAAUAGUACUCAAUUGGAAGGUAAUAAGAAUCAGAAUAGUACCUAAUAGGUGAGUAUCCGAAUAGCAAUAAGAGUAUAGGAAGUUCACUACAGGUAACAAGGGUCGAUGUAAUUGAGCUACUGAUAAUGCCCGUAAGUAGAAAACUGCUGAUCUAGCAUCCGGUAACCAAUCAGAAUUACCUCCAGGAGUGCAAGAACCAAACCAGUGCUAACAAGAAUGUAACUCACUAGUCCAAGCCUGAAAGCACUAAAGAUAGGGCUCGCGGGUAUAGCACUAAGAAUUGCACUCAGCUAACUCAGGCUCAUCUAAUCUACUUAUUGCUCCUAUCGACUACUACUUUGCCUCACUCCUACAGUUGCUACUAUCUCCUCGCUUCCUCGCCUGUAGACUCCACUCUCACUGCAGACUGCUUUCCUGGCACAUAGUUUUGACUAACAAUUCUAUUUUGGGUAGGAUAGCUCUAUAGUAGUUGGCAUUAACUUGUCCGGUGAAGGGUAAGCAAAAGGGGGGUUGGUUUCUAGCGCGGUGUGUACUUUCAUUGUCUACAAGUUCUGUUAUAGGCUUGACGUCUAUGAAGGAUGGGUUUAAAGCCCCCCGAGUCUGUUGGUAGUUUCUUUAGUGGUGGAUCAAUUCGUUCUUCAGCAGUAAGCAAAGCAGUGUCAUCGUAUCCUGUUGGUUAAGUAUAAAGUGAUCUCCACGAUAGAUAGUCUCUUUCUUUGUUUUCUAAUUCCUUGCUUUGACUACUAAUCAUUACAGCCUUAACCGAGCGCAGAGUUGUUUCAACUCCCGGUAUAAGCUGCUCCAUUAUACACUAUGUUCUGUGUGAAGUUACUAGCCCCCUCUUAUUCUAACUGACUAAUGCCUUUACGCUAAAGAAGCUUAUUUGACUUGUGCCUUAGCGAGCGAAUGUAUUUGACUACUACUACUAUUCCACUCACUUGUUGAAAAGAGUGAAAGAAUAGAGGAUAGACCCGUUACUUUGAAAAAGGAGUGCCAAAAAAGAAGACAAUAAAAUCAGAUAGGUCCGUAGCUUUGAAAGGAGUGCAAGAAUAGAGGAUGGGCCCCUUGAAACUAAUAGAAUAGAGCUACCCACUACAUAUGUAAUAUCGUUCGUAAAAGCAAUUAUUCCAUGCUAUGCCAUUCGAGGACCCUUUUCCUACUCCUAACCUAAUAAGUGAAAUCGACCUACAUUUGCAUUUUCCCGAAAAUGAAGGCAUAGAUUUGCUUUCUUUCCUUCCCCAGUGAUCCUUCCUUUACCUUUAAGAAUGGAGUUUCAGUAUUGCCAGUUGCCUGAGUUCGGGAAGUAUAGUCAAUAAGAUGUAUAGAUUGCUGAGUUGAAGACCGCAUAGUUAUAUAGUAUAGUUAUCAUAUGAGCUAUUGGAUAAGAAACCCUAUCAAAUAAAGGGGUUGGUGCAAAGUUAAUGUCUACUCGAUCAGAGGUUGGAAAAGAAAGGUUCACUCUGGUAUGCCUGCUUGGCCUGUAUGCCCGGGAUGCCUGCUUGGCCCCUACUAAAGGAUAUCUUCUCUUCAAUUUCCUGUUCUUGCUACUUAAUAUAAGGGCAACUAACCACUCCUUUGACUUUUGUCUGCUUGUCCGGCAGGGAAGGAGACUCUCCCAUUAAUAAGUAAGAUAAAAGCUUGUUACCCGCCUAGGUAUUCUAGAGCUAGAGCACCCACCCUCGCUACUUUAUAUUACAAUUGAACUAAGUCGCCUUAGAGAGUUAUAGGCUUUCCUCGCCAUAAAUAAGUGUAUAGGCUUUUAAGCUGGAAGGAAUGUACUGGUCGGGAAGAUACUUGUUCUCGAAAGAAAAGAAUCGAAUUAGUUGACAGCAGGGCUUUCAGGCGGGAAAGGUAGAGUGCAAGAGGCGAGUAGGCAUCCGAUGUUAGUAUUACAAGAAAGAAAGUGAGGGUGCUUGGUCCGCUAGGUUUAGUUCAAUAGGGUAGUGUUUUUGUCUUGUUAAUCCUUAGUGGGUUUCCCUAUUUCUUGUUUAAGUGCGAGAAGCAGUAAAGUGAAGCCUAUGAGCAGGGUAGGACGUCUUUGAGUAAGCAGUAACAGUAUUCGAAGCAGCGGUCUCAGGUUCAGAACAAGGGGGUCAGUUCAGAGGAUAAGUCUUGUCGGGCACUAAGUUCAGUUAGCACCGGUUCAUUUCGAAAAGUCGUAUUUUAUAGCCAGGAAAGGUAUACUAAAACAAACAAGCAAGAAUCAAGGUAAGAAGUAGAAGACUCCGAAGUGAAAUGCAUAACGCAAGAAAAAGGGCAGGGCUAGGUUCCGAGUUGAGAUCUUGUAGUUGUAGUAGAAUCUCUAGUUCCCAGUUAAAGGAUUCAAAGCAGUAGUUCUUUUCUUUGUAGCAGUGUGUUUCUAUUCUCUUUUCUAUACAGUUGUACUCCUUAAGAUAGUAGCGCGUAUCGGGGACAUAUGGGUGAACUGCGGAAUGCAAGUAACCUGUAUAGGAUAGAAUGUCGGGAAGCAAAGAGAAAAGGCAAAGGGAUAUCUGAUUUCAUUCAAGUAGGGAUAGACUAACAGGUGUGUCCAGAGAGAAUGAAACCCUGCAGAGAUAGAUUGAUAGCCAGUAAGGUAAGCCUAUGAGUGGGGAAUGGCAGACUAACAGGCGAGAUAGAAAUGGGAGAUAAAGACCUGGGACGCAGUAGAGCGAAUCCUAUAGUCUAGGGAGUUUCAGGAUCAAAGUGAAGAUAGUAGUAGCUAGCUUGGAAGCACCAGUGACAGCUUGAAGCGAGGAGAGGCAUACUUCAACAUACAAGCAGGCUAAGGGAAUAGAUGGUAAGCCUAAGAGCCGAGGAACGAGUAAAAGAACCGGCAAUACAUAAUUCAAAGUCAUAAGUAUAAGCCUAUAGCCCUGCUAGCAGUGGUUCAACUCCGAGUUAUAAGAACAAGUAUUUGUUGGCAGCGGCUCAAUUCACAAAGACAUAACAGUAACCCCCAACUAACAAAACGGAUUUGGGGGUUUUGAUUCUUGCAGAUGUCCCCUGGGUGCUGUAUUCCCUUCCCGUGUUUAAAUCCUUAGACUCCUUUCUGCAAUGCCUAGUUCCAAGUUCCGUUUGAUAUCCUUAUUACGUUAUGAGAACAAGUGGGUAGGGCACCGUAUCAGAGUGAAGGCAAGUCAAUUAAGCCUUACAGUCCAACUACAAAAUACAAAUAAGCAAUGGGAGUUUUAGAGCUCGAGCGAGGAACUGCAUAAUUGAGGUACGGCACCUAGUUCUUUCAGGUGAGAAAUCAGAAUCAAAGUUGGAGUCAAGUGAUCCGGAUCUCCUUUCACCCAAAUGCCCCCAUAAGAAUUUGACUCAUCAGUAGCAGACCUAAGCUAAGGCGGGAAAACAUAUAAGUUAGCCCUACAUCCCUGUCUUCUAUUCUUUCUCUACAAACUACGAUUCUACCGCUCCUUACUGACUUUCUUUAACACUGACAUGGAAUCCCUGCUUCUUAGAUUUAGUACUCUCCUCUCCUUUCUGAAUCGAUUGUUCCCAGAAGCUAUAGCUUGUUCCACUUGUUCUGCGUGUGCCUCAAUUCAUUCUUAUACUUCUUACUAUCGUCGACUUCUACUUUCAUUUAUUCUCCAGCAGAUGAUCUUGUCGACUUGACUUCUUCUGAUUUAUAUCCUGUUCAAUCUACAGGCUAAGAUCGUAGGAAGAAAAGGAAGUCCUAUUUAUAAGGGUAAGUGUCUUGCUAUCAGCUGUUUUUGUCGGUAGUGUCACAGUUUCAUUCCCUGUUUCUAGUAAGAGUAUUGCUCGUAGUAGAUCUAUUCCGGUAUGCCUAACCACCUAGGGUACAGUUCCAUUUUCUUAUCACUAGUCCAAUUCUAUCCAUUGCCCGUUUUAUUAUGAGAAGCACUUGUUCCUUCUAUUAGGAGUGACAUUCCAAUAAGUACUAGUUCAGUUCAAUUAUGGAUUCCCCAGCUUAUCCUUGUAAGCAGUAGGGGCGCAGCCUCAGUUUCAAGUUAAGGUCUUGUCAGCACUAGUUGAUUCCCUAUAUGGAGUGUUCGAUUCACACUGAGUUGGUUUCGUUGUUGCCUUAGCUGUAGUCGGUUCAGUCUUGUUGGCCUGGGUUUCCUAGUUCCGGGUGUCGGUAUUGUUAGUAGCAGCUCCAUUCCUUUGAGUAGUGAUAGCAAUCUCAUCAGCAGCGGAAUUAGGACUUGCACAAGUUAUAACAAUUCCUUUCUUCGCAUUACAAUUCCUGUUUUUGGGAGUUCAAACACUUCUUUAAUAACUAUGGAUUGCUCCCCCACCUCUGUAAACAAAUACAGAUUCGACUACUCUACUACUUAAGGAUGAAACUGGGAAUUCCACUGAUUGAACUCUUGAUGGCAACUAUGAACUUAAUUCAGCUAAUCUAACUCAUGCUCAUCUACCGGAGUCAACCAAUACAGAUGCAACUUUACCACUACACUCAAGCUUGCUUCUCUGGCUCAUAACUCUAACUCUGACAACCCUUACUAUUAAAGCUUCCACUCUAACAAGUACAGGAACAGAUCCUAUUGCUACUACUACAACUACUACUCCGAUAUUUCACUAAUUCUUCUUUCUGACCAGACCCGUUAGCUGACCUCUUACCUGGUAGCUGACCUCUUACCAGCGCCUAAACCCUACUUGAGAACAGAAGAGCAAAGUAACUACUAGACAAGUAAAGGAACAGACCCGCUUGCAACAGGCUUGGCUCUGUAAACUAACUAUUCCUCUGAUCUUGCUAAUCUACCUCGACUCUGGACUAGAGCAUCUCAGCUAACUUCAUUCGGCUCAUCCAACUUGAAACAAGCACUCCUGGCUCAUCCAACUCGGGCAACGAAUCAAGAUGAAACUUGGCCAAUCCACUACUACUACAUUACAUCUGGUGGAACACUAAGAAUUGAACCACUGUUUCCUUUCUAAUAGGAGCUUGUUUGUAGUAGGAUUCGGCAUUAUCUUAGUUGUACAUAGGCAUAUGGAUGCAAUAAGGCUACUCUCGGCGGGGUGGAUUAGCUUACAUUCGCUACUGCUGCAGCUUGUUUGUUUGCGCCCUAGCUUAAAAGUGCUCUAUGCCCAACACCGGGAAAGAAGAGUGUUUUGCCGUUGAAGCGCGAGCUUAGAUCCAUUUUUCUUAUGCAACUUAACAACAGAAAUGCGCGUCGUACUGAAAGUAGAGUCUCCGAGUUAGUGUUAGAGUCUCCUUUAGAAUAAUAGGAUGGAGCUAUAAGGGGAAGAACCAGAGUGCUGAGCUAGGUAUGCUCAAAGAAUCUAUAAUAAGAGAAUCAAUAGCCCACUAUAUGGGUAAGAACCAGAGUUAUGAGCUAGGUACGCUAGCCGAGUUAGUGUUAGAGUCUCCUUUUUAGUAUCCAUGUGUUAGAGUUCCCGCUGCUUUCGAUCCACCCCUUCCCUUGCUUUAAUCAUUUUAUUGAGUGCACCACUACCACAAAUAUAUAAUAGUCAACAACUAUAAGGAAGAAUCAAGAAUAAAGUAGGAUAACUUCGGAUUGAAAACUAUCUAAUGAACCCACGCACCCUGCAAUAACUCUAUUAGAUUAAGUUAGCACAACGGAACAAGGCGAAAUCUCUCUUAAGGAAGAAGCCCAGCCCAGCCCAGAACAAGCUUUAGGCAGUGAGGUGAUGUGACCAGUAACUUGUUAUUCUAUAAGUUGUGCCAUGAAAGCAGUCAGCAGAAGAAGUAGCGUUUGUAGAGUCUCGAGUUGGUUACUCAGAUACAUGUUGGUUACUCAGAUACAUAAGUUGUGCCAUGAAAGCAGUCAGCAGUCUUAGGUUACUAUCCUUUAAGCAAGGGUGAAAGAAUGAACACGCUAAAAGAGAAAAGGGGCACCUUAUAGAGCCGAGCGUAAUGGGUCAAUAAAAGCAGAAGCCUUAGCGAGAUCUACUGAAGUGGAGUAUCUUAAAGCAGAAGCCUUAGCGGGGUCUACUGAAGUGGAGUAUCUUAAAGCAAUGCAACGGAGUCAAGCUCUUUAGUCAAGUAAACAAACCGUAUUGCUUCCAACAAGAAACUACUAACGCAGAAGUUCAUAACAACACUGCGAACUCAAGUAAAGUAACAAAACACUAUUUUCUGUGCUUCAAAACUCCUAAUGCACAACAAGGCCUUGAGCCAGAUACUGGUAUUAGAGCUAGCUUAUAUAGUAUUUGUAUCAGGUAUUAGAGCUAGCUUAUAUAGUAUUAGUAUCAAUCAGCCCUGCCCUAGCCUUGCCUGUUUCAUUUCACUGACAAAGAAAAGAAGCAUUGAACUAACACGAACAUUAUAUGGAAUUGGGUAAAAAAGAGAUGGGUAGGUUCUCCAAAGAGCAUAGGUAGGUUGUUUCUACUCGUAUUCAAAAUAGAAAAUAAUAAUAAGAAUUUUGGAACUUGCAAAGAAGUCAUCAACGGCUUGCGGAACUCACAUUAGCACUUAUAGGUUACUAUACUAAAGAAAGAAGCGACUCUCGUCUCAGGUCAACAACAACGGCGCUAACAGAAGCUUGAAAGAUGGAAUUGACUCUUGACUUGUGCACUUACGGAGUUUGCCCCACCCUACCAGAUAGUCAGCCUUAGCUAUAGGCCACACCUGCCACGCUCAAGCAAGGACAAGAAGUCUCUCGCGGAUACCCAUACUUGCUCGAAGUAAAGUAUCUCGUCUCGUAAGGUAUCAAUCAAUUCUUCAAUUCCUGAACUUUAGGGAAAGAGUACUUAGGCGGGUUAGCAUACUUUACAGGCAAUAAGCAGGCAAUAAGAGUUUACGCGGAUCCAACAAGGGAUUCAACUCCAAGCGCAUAAGCAUUAGAUCCUUUAUCUCUUCUUACUCAAACACCAUUUGAAAACCACUCACUUCCUGGAGGAACUCUAUUUUGUGACCAAUAUCUAUCAUACCGAGCUAAUGAUUCUGUUUAUUAUCUUUCUAACUUAACGGAAACUGCUUCUUCCCCGGAUCCGUAUCCAGAUCCAGCAUCUGCUUAUACCUCUUUCUCCCCUGUGUUACAUAGAUAUAUCCAUACUAAACUAGAAACGCUAGAUUCCGAUUAUGAAAUACACUGUCGACCCGACCACCUCUACUUAUAAGUGCAGAAUGUCAUUAAGCAACUUCUCUCGCGGGUCCACGCAUACGCACAAAAUGCAAUUGAAAACUCCUAAUGCAUAAGCCAAAGAAGGUAUUGUUUUACUGUCUAUGAGCUCUAAAACGGUGUUUUGUACUUUCUUCUUCUAUUGAAUAACUAAAAAGCUACCACUCGGGUCUAUCAGACUCACUACCUUAUCAAAUAAGUCUUCCUUUCGCCUCUAAACUCCUUACUAGCAAAGGAAUCAGAUUUAGUGUCCCGGGUUAUAAGACCUAGACGAGAGGGUGACUUCACUCGACUUACAGGAAAGGGUGACAAGUGUUUCAGUUAUCCGCAUACUGUGUCAAAACUCACCUCUUUAUGUUGAACAAAAGAUUUCCACAUUACUCCGCUCUUCUUACUAAACCUACACCAAUAAGCUCCCGUAGCAAUAUAUGCCCAUGUGUUAGCAUCUUAGGAAGCCUUGAUAGGAUAAGCAUCUCCGUCCAUGGUAGGAAUCGAGCCAAGCGCAACUUUUAGGCUAUACUUCAAUCAAUAAUUCAAGGCUUUUAGUCAUCGCUCUGUGAAGGAGUGGGCGAAUCAACAUCCGGCAAAGGCACUGCUAGCGCACUCUCGUCGAUCCACCACAAAGGUUAACGACGUAUAAGAGUUUUGAAUCCAAUGGGGUAAGCUCUAAACCAAGAUUGGAUACUAGGUAAAGAACUUAACUCUACGCACUGAAACAAGCGACGGAACAAGAAGAAGCACCGCCCUCCUUACUCCCUAAACACAAUGACACAUGAACUCAAACAUCAUUUCCUCGCACCCUCUGGAUACGAGUGUAAUUGAAUUUCCUCGCACCCUCUGGAUACGAGUGUAAUUGAAUUUCCUCGCAACCGACCUAUACUUGCCUAUUCUCUUAGCGCCUAAGCUUGUUCACUUACUGAUGCCUACUGAGUAAGUCUGGUCCCGGACUUUUACUGUUUGAAUAAUUCAUGGAAUCUUUCUUUCUUGCAGACAAUGCUAGAACUACACUUGAUUGACUUCCUACUUCGCGCUUGCUGCUGAUUGACUUUAUACUGUAAUUACCCGAGAGUUGAUUCUUCCCCUAACUGCCCCCACUCGAUAAGAAUGGAAUGGAAUCUCUGCUGACCUGAGCUUUCGCACACCAUCCCUUUCUUUGGAAUCUGAUUAUGAUCGGCUUGGCACAGAUCCAUCUUUCGCUUCUGAUCCUUCACUUGCUGUUGACGACUAAAUUGAUUAACUACUUCUUAUCGGUUCGGCUUCAUAUCCUGCUCCUAAUAGAGAUGAUUCCUUGCGCUUAGACCAGUUCCAAAUAUGCUUCUGAUUCAAUGCGCUCUUCCUAGGUGAGAGAAAUUCCUUUCUUUAGAGUCAAGAGAGAGAGCAAGCAAGUGGUUAAGUUACAGAUGCAACAAACAACGGGUAGAAUGAACAAGCAAUGGAUCGAGUCACUACUAAACAAGCAUCAUUUUUGGAAUCCUUUGAGCGCCUUAGAUGAAACUCGGGAUUAACGGAGAUUGCUGCUGUCAACGCGGAACUCAAACCUGCUUGCUACUGCGGGAAGUGACUGUUAAUAAGUUGUUCCAGAGGUCUUUCUUUGUCUUCAUUUUCUUUCUUUGUCUUCAUUUGUUUAAGAUCACUACAAGGGGCUGAAGAAGGCAAUAAUCUCGGUGUUGGACUCGGGUCUCUGUUACUGUUAAGAGAGUUCGUGCGGGGGCGGGGUGUGUUAGUGAGUGGUGCGGCGGAUGACUCUCGGGGUGCUAAAGGAAAGGCGAGCAGUCUGAGGUCACUUUAAUGAAAGAUGUAAGCAGCGAGGAAGCAGUUAGGUUACCUUCAAGGAGUGGGUGCUUACGUGAGUUCCAGAGUUCGGUUCCGCAGCCUCCGCAGUUGCUUUAUAUUUGACCUACGUCUCAGCAGUUGAUCUUCAAUCAACAAAGAACUCCUUAGCGGUAAACUCGCAAACUCCCUUACGAAAAUCCCUUCCCUUUUCGUUUGCCCGAAGAAUCCAAUCAGUAUUCAAUCUCCCAUAUAAGUUGAGAAAGAGUCGUUUUAGGUUGUCCCUUAUUGAUAGCCCCGAGUCAGCAUUUAUGAGCUUAGCGGGUGGAUAGUGCAAUAAGCCUAUAUCGAUCCUACCACCUUUCAAAUCCAUAUUUUGGAUAGCCUCUCGCCUUUCGAAAUCAGGUCUAGCAUCAACUCAGUCAGAUCUUCUCUUGUUUGCCCGCUUUUAUUAGGCUUCCAAAUCAUCUUUGAUCGGCAUUUCGUGCCUGCAUCCCUGAUCCAUUCGACCUUUUCUCUGUGAGUGUAGUUGUAGUAAGGUUAGAGGCGCCACUAUCAGAGUAGGCCAGGCGCUAGUUUCUUUUUUCUUAUAUGUCUUUCUGUCUCCGAAGUCCCUUUUUCUCAAUGCUGUCUGUCUCCGAUGAUCCAAAUCUUGCUUAUUAUUCUAAUCUAGCUUCAUAUCCAUCUUCGGCUUCAUAUCCUACAAUAACAGUCCAUUCAGCUGCUGCUUAUUCUGAUUCUAGGGAUUCUUCUUGGCCCAUUUCUUAUUGAUUAUUUCCCCUAUCCCCUGUGUGCCUUGUCAACAACUACUUUAUUGAAUCUUGGUUGCGCAGAGUAAACCUUUUAUGUUAUUGAAUCCUUCUUGACUUGCAAAUAACUCGCCGCGCUACUGACUACUAAGCUUGGCCCAGGAGUGCAUACCGAAGCCCAUAUCCAUUAACAGCUCAUGGGAAUGGUCAUAUGUGGCAGUAGGCAUCAAGACCGACCCUUUCAAAGAGCCUAUUCUAUUCCAUUCCUCAAUAGAGGCACAAGCUAUUAUUGAAAUAUGCGUAGUCAUAGUGUGCUCAUUUAACCCAUUGAAGUGAAGUCUUGUCUUGUCCACCGAUUGUGGGGUAACGGGAACUUUUCUUUGGGAUUCGCUUGGUUAAUCGUACUUCCAAGGGUGUCGUACUCCAGCUUGCCAGGACUUUUGACUGGCCUAGGACCACGAGUCAGAGGCGCAUCUCUUGUCUGUCUCACGAUGGUGCACCACUAAGGGCUUUUCCCUAACAGCGGAUUCCUAGAAUGGAUUAGAAUGUCAACUGAAUCCGGAGUGCAUCAUCCGCCCCAAAAAGGCAACUUCUUUCUUGGUGUACAGCGUCGACUACUGAGUCGUCUGCCUCUUCUUAAGAGAAUUUGAUCAGGCACGCGUUUCUCUAUAGAGUGUCCUACUACACACACCUCCGUGAAACUCAAAAAAACACUUCUUUCUUCGGGAGAAUCUAAUUAAUAUAAAUAAUACCUGAGGUCGGGAUCGAGGAACUACUGCUGGAGAACUGCUGCUUACUAACUGAACUUUCCAUAUCGUUUUGAAUUGGGAACUUCAAGUAUCGUUUGCGUCGACAAGCGAGUUCCCCAUCUCAACGUCUUCCUUCUCAUGAUCCAAAAACCAAAUUCACUACUGUCAACUAUUUCCGCUAUUCUUGAAGCUAAGUCGACUAUUCGGCAUUCAACAUUCUUCAGAAGUACUCUCUUAUUGCGCACCGUCUUUUCAAGUUAUCGAAUUCUUUUUCCCUUGCGAGUUCCGUUGCUUUAAGAUACUCCCCGUACUCUGUACUUUUAAGAAGGUCAUAAUCAAGGUGAAAGGCAGGGCUAUAAGGCUUAUUUCUCUAAGUGGAAGGCAGGGCUAUAAGGCUUAUUUCUCUAAGUGGAAGGCAGGGUAAACGAUACUCUUAUGUGGAAUCUAUCAUUGAGGGUCCGCUCUGAGAAUACAUUAGUAGCCUCAAAUACUGGAUUUGCAAGCACAGAGUCAAUACAUAAUCCUUUUAGCACGAGAAGAUCAGAUCAGAGAACUCCGUAAGCAGAAGUCAAACAAUCAUUUCAUCUAUCGAGCUAAAGUCAAACAUUCAAAUCAGCUGUUGUUUAACCCGCUAACGCACCCGCUCCAGAAUGAAAGGAAGUAGUAGGAAGUAGUUCAAGCUUAAAGCAUAUAGUAUGAUUAACUCGGGACUGGAACUCCACAUUAAGAAGAACCUAGGGCUGCUGAUGAUUCGGCUUCGCCUUUUUCUCCGGAUCCUUCUCCAAAUGCUUUUAUUCUCUUGUCCACUCUACUAGAAUGGAAUUUGAUGAUUCGGCUUCGCCCACCCGACCUCUCCUUAAACAUUAAUUUCCAUCUAUCGCUGUCAGGUAAACUCCCUUUAGCCGCUGAUACACUUAUUCUUGUUGGGCUGGGCCUGUCUGUGAACAAGCAGUAAAGGUCAACUUUCCUUCCCACGGAGUUUGCAACUAACUUGCAUUCGGCUUCAGUCAAACUAAGAAAGAAUUUCCAUCUAUACUUUGCGCCUACGCCUAUAAGAUUGGAUUUGAGAUCAGUUGCACAUGGGGAAUUCCGUAAAUACAUAGCUUGUUAACCUUUUGAAUUAGCAUUAGCGAGUUAACCCUUGAGAACUGCUUCCUUAUAUGAUGAAACAUAUCCUUAAAAGAAAGCAAGCGCCUUAACCGAUUAACUGCGUAGCUACGUGAGAGAAAAGAAAAGAGAUGAGCCUAUAGCCCUAUGCAUUCUAUUAUAGAGUUGAGUAGAUUCCGCUUCAACAUAUGAUAUAAGUGGAACUGGGCGAAGGAUACUUCCGGACAGAUGCGCUUUCGCCAACACCGAUACACCUCUUCUUCACGGCAACACUUCUUAUUACUCAGAUUACCGCUCCGGGGGGCUAUACUGAGUCUAUACAAUAAAUACUUUCGCUUCUAAACUCAUCUGCGCAUAUGAAAGAAAAGAGUAGUAAACUACGGGCUUGACGGAGCUUCUUCUCUCGUUGACAACACUGCACCCUUACAAGACUCUCUGGGCUAUCUUUCUGUACAACUAAAUAAUGAGACCAGCCCUGGAAUUCCAUCUGGGUUUUCCCUUGUAGUGGUCCAGUCCAAGCACCGAACCGCGACUUGACUUCCAUAACUAUCCCAUCCCCGCGUAGUAACUAAACUAUACUUGCAGACCCAAUGGCUUUAUACCCUUACUUUCGACCCUUGCUUGUUCCCCGAACUUCCUUAACUGAGACCAUUGCACUUUUUGCUAACUUAACCUAUGUGAAACAGUGCUAAUAGAAAAAUCCCUUCAUGGAAACUCUCCAACUGGACUUAUAAUGAAUUUCGCCUAAGAAACAUAGACCCACUCCUUGACCUGACAUUACUUAACGCUUUAGUCAAGUCAGAAAAUAGUACAUUUCCAUCUUCGGCAUCAGAUCCAGCUUAGACAGCUUACUUGAGAGCUACUUCUUCUGUUGGGCCAGCGCCAGUACCUGUAAUUGAUCCAUCCCCUUAUUCCCCUUAAACAAACAGCCGCAGAAUGGAAUGACACCUUUCGAGCACAUUAUGGAGAUGGUAUAGAAAUGGGGAAUAUGACCUAAUCUAUACUUCACUUUAUACUUUACUGAGUUUUGCUUGUUUGCUUGUUCGGGACUUGGUCAUAACUUGGCAAAUGGAGAAUCUCUCCUCUGAUCUUGCCUCUGCCCUUAUAAUAAAUGGUAGACUCACUACUUCCCGCCUCAGAUCUUCCUUCUUCUAUGGGAACUCUACUUUCAACAAAUCAUUCUUUACUUAGCUCUCCCUCUUACCUCUGACUCUUGCUCCUCUGUUGCUAUUAUACCUAAGGCAACUAACACUCUCCUCUGGCUCUGGCUCUUUAAUAAGUGCUCUAGAGCUUAAGUCUCCUUUCCUCUUGAACUCCUAUUUCCUAGUUUCCUAUUUCCUCUUUCUCUAGAAACUCAUAGCUUACCGCAAGCACCUAAACUAGUCUCUGCAGAGGCAAACAAAGGGCCCUUACUAUCAUUUCUGCCAAUAAGUCAACAACUACGGGAGGGGUGCCGGUCUUCAAGCCAACAGAUACUGAAUGGAAUUCCGAGGGAACAAACAAGAGUCAGUUUCCCAGUCAGAAGAAGUUCAUUCUACCCUAUAAAGUGGAAAGUCAGCAGCAAGCGCAAAAGAAAGUCAAGGUGGUCGAGGAAAGUCUAUCAGAGAAAGAUGUAGAAGAUGGAAAGUCGAAUGGACGACACUUUACUAAGAUCUAUACUAUGUGCCCGCUAGCGGAGUUCUCUUGUUCGCAAAUCCAGAUUGAGUCCAGGCCAUAUAUUAGAUAGAGACACUCUUUCUUUUUCCCCUUCUCGCCAUUUGUUGUAAGAUAUGCUUUGUUGUAAGAUAUGAUAUAUGGCUGUUUGGUUACUGAAGCAUAUCCAUGUGCAAUAAUCAGAUUCUUGACCUGUGCUAUAUUACCAUAUUAGGAAGCUAUAGAUGCCGGAAGAGAGAAAGAAGCCCAAUUCAAACAAUCAAUACAAAUAGAGAGCUAAAAAAGUGCUAUAUUGCUUCAACGCUAAGGUACCAUUUCGAAUGUCCUUCCUCCGCGCUAAGAUCCUUCCUUUACUGUUUCCGUUCUACUUUCAUCGCUAGUUUCAUCCUAUAUUAUGCAUGUUUCACUCGGCACAAGAAAAAUGACUGGUUGACUCUCGCCCUACUGCUCGAAAGAAAAAAGUGUCAUAUUUCUCAUAUCAUUGCUUAACACAAGCACCGAACCCAUGCCUAUUAAGAAGUGAAGAACCUACUAUCCACCAAUCAACUACUAGGCACCAAUACUAGGCAAAACGGGACCCAUACCUGAACUAACUCUAUCUGACUUGCCGACUUCAACUCGUCUUGAUUGAUUUCCUUCCCUAGUGCUACUCUCUGGCAACAAUUAACUAUAUAAGAAUUCUACUCUCUAUAAUACCUAGGCGGUGUAACAAGACUGAUUCAGUUGCUCCCUAACCCGAUCUUGACUCUCUACUUUAAGUUUCAGAAUAUCUUGCAGCUUAUGGAACUCUACUCACCAAGCUUAUACAAGAGUCGAAUCUCCUUCUUUAUUUCAUAAUUCGUUUAAGUAGUGGGGUCGAGAACUUGAACUGGGCAUUCAACGUCAACAAACAAGGAUUGAACUCACCAAUCAACCUAGAAAUCAAAAGUAUAUAUUGUCUAAGUAGUCAAAGAAUUCAACUAGUUGUCGACUUGGGUGCUAUGCCCAAUAUUCUGCUAUUGCCUACCUAUCCGAUGGCUGAGCCUUUAUCCUAUGCCUUUUCAUCUAAUCCAACUCAUUUGUUUUCAACUUGAUUUGAUAUCUGAAUUAGGCUCAUCUACUUACCCAAGGCAACAAGACCUAUGGCUACAAUUUCAUAAUGCCACUAGUAGUUAAGGCCACUACUCGGGGAUGUAAACCUAGACCGCUCUACUACACCUAUUGCUACUAAUAAAGAAUUGCACUCGGAUCAUCUACUUCAUAAGCUAGAUCAGCUACAGGCAGAAUAUCUUCCUUCUUCAAGCGAGGUAUCUUCGAAGCACCUUUGUAUGCGAAGGAGCGGUCACUGGAACAAGACUUGUGGAACGGGUCGAUAACACACCUAUGGGCUGGGCUAGAUAUGGAACUAAUUGUCCUGAGAAGAAACCCUAUCAAAUGAUAUAUUCUCUUUUACAGAUGAAACUACUCUACUACUUGUUUAAGGGUCAAGGGUCAUCGCCUAUGUCUUCCAAUUCUAUUCCUCAGUUGUUUUUGCUUGGCCCGAUCCUUUACUUCUUUUAGAGGGUCCGCUUGGCCUCACUACUAUAGUUACAAAUCUUGUAGUUGCAGUGAUUGGCUUGACCGAGUUUCAUCAGUUAUCCUUAAUAAGAACAUAUACCUAAUUGAGUAUGGGAAUAGUAUAGAUCAUAUCCAAAGAAAGGGAACUCGUUUCUCACUUUUUGGAAUGUUUUUUCAAUUAGAAAUUAUUUCACCACUACUCAGGUAGUUGCGGCGUUAACUGGGCCCUCUCUUUGCCUUUACCUGCUUGCCCCCUUGUUGGAUCUGUUCUCGUAUAGUUUCAUCUGUUCUCGUAUAGUAAGUAGAAGAAAAGACAUAGCUUGUUCACCCUUUCGCCCGAUAUACCCGGAUGAAAACCCUUCUUUUGAGUCCAGUGUUUUAGGGCUGAUUGAUACGGCAGGGCAAUUCAUAGUUACUAGUGGCAUUCUUAGUCGAGCUGGUAUAGUUGACUUUUGAACUCACCCCUCGUAGUAGUUUUGACUUGUAUGCUUGGCCCUUCCACCGGCAAUCCAAUCCACCGGUUACGGACAUUCCUUUCCUCAUAAGGAUAGUCUAUCUCAGUAUAGUGGGCAACUCGUUUUUCAAAGAUCAAGAUAGGCAGGAGUCACUUUUGUAUCGACAUAUAGCUGCAAAAGUCCUUAAUUCUAAAUAAGUGAGACAGGGAAGACAAGCCAGCAAUAAGCAAUGGAAGCAAUGCCCCAGCUUUUGAACUCAACCAGACCUAGGAACUGCAAUGCCUGUAAAAGAAAGAAGUAAAGCUUGCCAGUCUACUCAUUGCAUUGCUAUCUGAUAGCCAUUGGAAACCUUCUCACUAUUAUCACAUAUAGAAGAAUGCUGCUAUUCGGACAAUCUUCUUCUAGCGAGUCAAUGUCGGAUAAUCUAGCAAGAGCUUAUAGUGCAAGGUGCGGAAAGCCGGAUGGAGCUUAAACAAGUGGGAAUCAAGACAGCAACAAGUCCCAUGUUGAAUGAGAUAGCUUGAAUCUUCCAAUCUUUCUGAGCUAUGAAGUGGAAUAGGCUGUCUUCCCUGUAACUCGGAAGGCGGAUCAAGGUACAUGAACCACUACCGGUGUUGAACCGCUCCUGCCGCUACACUCGAAGACAUCGGAGGUCAAAGGAAAGUCGACAUCGAUAACAGAAUAAUAAGUGGAAGUUUCAGUUUCCAGUGAAAGUUAAGGAAAAGUGAUGGAAUUCUUUGUUGCUUCAGUAAAGUGAUAGUUUAGGUCGGAAAUGCAAAAGAUAAGGGAAUAGAGUAUUGCAUAGACCCCCACGGAGCGGUAAUGAAAGAGGUGAAGCUGUAAGAAAGUAAGCUGCCCAACUUAGAUAAGCGAGACCAGCCCAGGCAAUGAAAUCUGUGUAAAAGUAUCAAUGAAAGUAGGCGAGAGGCCAAAACGAAGCCAAGCCCUUUGUUUACUCGAAUCUAUCAUAAGAAGCAAUAAGGUAUAUUUGGAUUAGGAAUCUGACCCCAGUAUCUAUACGAUCUCGAAAGCCAUCCAUAUCAUAUAUCAUGUCAGUCCUCGUUCCCAUAUACCCAGUGUAGUAUAUGAGUUCAUAGCAGAUUCUGGCUCCUAUUUCUACCAUUUCAUAUUGAAUAAGUUCACGAAGUACUAGGCGGAGCUACUAUUGAGACAGAAAACUCCACGCCGAUACCUAUUAAGGAGGGCUCUCCUUUUUCAUUCCCUUUCUUUCUUCAAUAAAAUAAGCUAAGUAAAGAAGCGAGUUCCCUUUCCUGGCCAGUAAAUGCCAGCGGGAGUGCCUGUUUCAAUUCCCUUUCGAUUAUCGCAGUCGCCGUAUGCUUCACACGUGGUGUAGCGAAAGCAAGGUCAUGGUAUAAAGGCUUGGUUCUCUUCUCGGUCAAAAGCCUAGUUCUCAGUUAGCUAAAAAGAUAUGGGCUAGAGCAAGGCAGAGGAUUUGAAGCAGGUCUAGUCUUCAAAAGCAUCGAUUGGCAGAGGUUUUUUUGUAGCCCAUUGUGAUGAAUAUUGGAAGUUGGAGUUGAUUUUGAUGUCGCUAGGAGUUAUCUUACACCCUACCAGUCUCCCUUUUUGAAAGCCUUUCCGUCCCUUUCCUGUUUCGAUGAGUCAUAAAUGGAAAAAAGCUUAAUAAUCUACUUUCGAGCUUUUCUUCUCGCUCCAAGUUCAUCAAUUGCAAACUUACUUAUUACUUCGAUCGAGCAAGAAUUGAAAGCAAAUUGGAGUCUACAUAUAAGAAGUGGUUUACUUAGGCUAAGGCAUUUCAGUUUACACCCCAUACUAAUUCAUAUGUUAAAGAGUCAAGCGCCUUCCCAUACCCUUAGGAAAACCAGUGUGAAAGCAAACGCAGAAAUCAAUAAUGUGUUUGUUUCUUUAAUCAAAAAAGCAUCGAUUGCUGUUCGAGUCUGAAGGUAAUCUCUUUGGAAAGGAAAGUUCAAGUUCUCUUGCUGAGAGAGAGAGUUCCUGGGAGUUGGAGUCUCCAGACGAGUGUCUCUCAAGUGGAGAUAUUUUCUGACUCGAUCCAUAGGUAAGGGAUAGGAUCUAGCAAGUAUGUUAUUACGCUUAGGAAAGUUCCCCGUCAUCAAAUUCGAAUCCUUCUGCUUUCGAUGGCGCCGAUCUAAUAAUAUACCUUAUAAAUCCAAUAAUAUACCUUAUAAAGAAAAGAUCAAGACUAUAUAAUCCGCUAGCCUAGUUGCAGGGAAUUGGAUUUCUCAGUGCCCGUUGGGAUAAGGUGGAGUCUCUUGGGGCUUACAUCUCGCGCUGUAAUAGAUCUCUUUCCCUUAAAGGUGAUAGUUUCUCUUAAUAAUUCGUUCUUUCCUUUCACUCUAUCGAAGGAUAUGUGUAGGUCUAAGGCGCUGAUAGAUUGAUUUCCUUUCCAAGUGCUAUCUAAGAAGUGAGUGCUCAAUCGAGUUUCAAGUAUGACCGAGUAAUAGGAUUACAGCUUAUACAGGAAUACCCUUUUCUGCUUUUGCUUGAUUCGAUUCAUAAAGUGCUCAAAGAUAAGUGCGUUUUCAAUACCUAAGGCAAGUGUUCUAUAAAUUCGUUAAUAAAGUCCGGGUAGAAAUCAAUACGGAUGGAUUUGAUUGAAGCCUAUAUCUGCCGAUCUUUUGUUGCUCUUGAGCGAACGAAUAGGUUACCUUAUUAUUCCAUAUCCCUCUGCUGGAACAGAAGUCGAGUGGAUCAGUAGCAUCUUGGUAUAAGUAAGUACCGAUAUCGAUAUAGAGCAAUUGUUGCCGGCCUAAAUAGUUGGGCAGGAUAACUCCUGAUAGAUUAACCGAUCUGAGUUUGGUAUUUCCAUUCCUAUAGGAUUUGGGCGGAAUUCCUUUUUGAGAGAAAGAACCAAAUCAAAAGAAAAACAAUGGAGAUCCAUUCACCCUGUCUUUAGAUUCUCAUUCUAUGCUAGGGGGAACUGUUCUACUUUCAUGCAAGGCUUAUUGACGCUGAUGUUCGAAAUCGCUCUGUGUCCAUCUUUACUAACAUGCCUUUGAGAAAUAGAGUCCUUGGUUAUGAUUAUACUGUUCUAUGCCCUCGGGUUCCUUCACUCGCUUAAGAGAACUAUAUUCUUUGCUCUUUCCCCAGACACCGAGACUUGCACUUUUGACUGACAUUCCGCUUGUGUUCCGUGGAGUAGCUUCUUUAUCCCGUCGCAGGAAAGGAGCGACUACUCUUGCUUGGCCGUUAAGAGUUCUGCUAUUUUCUUCUUUUGUGGGGCAUCUUAUAAUCCUUAGUUUUGCUUGCUUCUGUGAGCAUAUCCUGUUCAACGAGUAUGGUUUCUUAGCUACUGGCAUCCUUUCCUUCGUGCUAACAGCCAAAGACCCAUUUGUCCAAUCCAAACCUAUAAGGCGCACAAAGAAGCACUUCUCUUACGAACGUUGGAGCAUCACUUACUCGCGAAUCCCGAAAGACAGACUUCCUGAGCACUUGCCUAUUUCUAUUCAUUUCUAUUCCUUGCCUAUUUCUAUUCAUUUCGAUUCUAUUAUUCUUUGUUAGGCUAUUCGCGGGGAAAAAGAAGGGCCUUUCCUCUUGGCAUCGAUCUCAUAUCUGUGUCAAAGAGCGGAGAUUCUCUUAUCUAUGUCUCUUCUAAACUAUGCAUGCCUGCUCCUAAAAUGCAUUCUUUGUUUAGUUCAUACACUGCACUCCUUCGCCACCCGGAGACAAAGAUUCCAUAAAUGAAGUUUCCUGCAAGCGCAAAGUAGACCAGAGAAUCAAAAGGAGAACGAUCUAAAGUAGAAAGAUACGGGUCUCAAGUAGGAGUAGGAUCUUAUGUGGGUAAAGAAUAUAGAGCUGGUGAGGAAGCCGGGUUCACUCAUAGAAUUAUUCAGAAGCUAACUACAGCGGAAAAGAAGAAAGAGUCAACCUAAAGCAUUAAAGAGAGAAACAGCCCUUAUGUUUUCAAGAGAAAGAAGAUACUUGCUAAGAUAGAUAUACCCCGUUUUGAAGCAAUGCUCUGUUAGGUUAAGAAUUGAUGGAAUAUGCGGAUCAUGUUAUUCAAGCAAGGGCAGCUUAUUUAUUAGAUGGGGAGCGGGUAGUUACAUCAAAAUAAGUAUAGCAAGCCCGAGUUCCCGGUUGAGUCUAUCAGGUAGUAAGCCGAUUCCCUCUUUUGCUUGUUUCGACCUUACCGGUAUUGUAUUGGUGACAGGAUCCGGGUAUCGAGUGCAACUCUUUCCAUUAGUAGUCAAAGGCUAAGUUCCUAGUUAAAGUACUUCCAUUAGCUGUUCCAUCCGCCAAGUCACUACCACAGAUGAGACUGACAUCGCUACUAACGACACAACUAGGCGAUUUAGUUACUACCGGCAAGACUUCACCUAGUACUUCCAAAGCAUUACUCGACCCACACAGGGUUUAGUAGCCCCUGACUUGCUUUCGUUCUCGUAGUCGUCCCUGGCGUUCCGGCUCAACACUUAUACCAUUACUCAUGAGAAUUCAUUGUUGUAGCCCAAGCCGUAGUCUUAUGCCACGCCCAGAGCAGAAAAAAACACGAGUCCUCUGUGUUUCAAAGCUGACACUACUAAGCCAUCAAGUCACCCAACUAUUAGAUCCACCCUAGUGUUAUAGAAAGAAAGUAUAGAUGGUAAGGCGGGGAAACAUAGAUAUCAGAUCUGAAGUAAGUAGUCGAUUUCCUAUUGAGUAGAGCAAGUCUGCUCCAAGCGAGUAAGGAUCUAAAUCAGUAGACACAGGGUGAGAUCGAGCUUUGAGGUAGGUGGUGGCAGUAGAUAGGUCAUAAGUAAAAACAGGCCUAUUAGCAGUAGUUGGUUUCCCGGUUGCUAGUUAAGGACCUGUUAGUGCUAGUGGAAUUCUCUUUUCUUGGAUUCAUUGCUAGAUGCGCUAUAGAUUAUACCUAUGCUUCUAAAUGCCCUAAUAAAUAAGUUCAUUAAGGGUUGCAUUAUGGUUGCAUUCUUAGAAGAACACGGAUAACUAAUUGAAUAAUGAAAAGCGAUAAAAGAAAGAAACACAUAAUAUAGAAUAGAACCCGGGCGGAAAAGACUGCUACUUACUAAUAUAGGAAUAAAAGAACUACUAGAAAGAGUCACUACCUGCCCAACAAACAAGACAACAACUCAUAAGUAGGAGAAUGCGAUCAAUAACAGGAAGACCAGAACUAGCGGUGUAAAGAACUUCUAUAAGAAUACUGAAUUGAGAAGGACACUUGGAAUCCAGCCGUAUAGGAAUAACGACUACCAUAUGGAAUGCAACUAACAACCAUUAGCCUUAAGUUGCUACUGAUAGGGUUCAGUCGGAAUACACCGAACUUGGUCAAGCGCCAAUACUAAUAUAUCAAUAAAAGAAUUGCACCGAUACCAAUAAGGACGGAACUACCAGCCAGCAGCCAGCAGCUGACGCUGACCUUACUUUUCUUCUUUCACUAAUGACCCGGAACCCUGUCGUCUGUAUUGCACCUCGGAUUCUUACACACUCCAUAGAGAUAGGCCUUACUCAUAUAGCCAUAAAACGGAUAAUACUUUCUAUUAGAAUAGAGAAUUGCGCUGGCAUUAGCAGGAUGAAACCGCUGUUUUUAAGGCUGCAUUUAGACAAAAAGAAAGACUUCUUAACGAAAUGGGAGGGAAUUCUUUCACUGCCGGGCAUGAUCCUGAUCCUGUCUCCUUGCUUACUUUAACUGAUUAAGAUAAGACUUGCUCUUUGGCACAAGAGAAUCGAACCUUAUGGCACGUACUCAAAACAGGCAAUCCGAAUAAACCCAAUGAAACAAACCAAUAAGAAGAAUACUAGAAAUAGGAACUAAGCCUGGCAACUACUACCCAUAAUGUAAGUAUUAAUACGGGAGGGCAAAAAGGCAAGUAAAUAAGGAUCGAACUAAGGGAGAAGGAUUGUGCUACUGGGUUGAGUUCUAUGAGUGAAUUUAUUGAUUAUGAGUUGGCAAAGGCAAAGCAAGGAAUAGCUACGUUAUAAUGAGUUAUUCCGGUUUCUCAUUUGUGUUUCUUAGUUUCAUUCCCGUUUUCUUGUUUCGUUAGUGCACAGUUGGAUUCGUUAUGGGCUGUGUCUCAGCCAUGCCCCCCAGGAGAAAGUAUCAUCGGUUUCAGUUCUAUUCAGGGGUUAUCGUCAGAGUAGGAAGAAAGAUGUUUGCUGAGCACCUGCACCAACUGUUAUCAAGGGAAGAGAAAAACAACUACCUUUUUUCACUAAGAAACUAGAAGCAAACUACUAAUAAACUAGAUUCAAAUCUCAUAUAAGAAAAACAUUCUAUCUAACAUGCAUGAGUGAACAAAUUAAUAGAAGAGUGGAACUGGAACAUAGGCAUUUACGAGCUAGCUACUAUAAUACAAAGAAGGGAUAGGCAUAUUUCAAAAAGGCAGGACAGACUUGAUCGAUAGGAUAGUAAGGAUGCCGGAUAGCAGUUUCAGAGCUAAAGCAAGGGUCGACAUACUGAGCUCGCUGGGGAGAUGCUAGAUGAUAAAAGGAACCCCGAUUUCGGUAUGAUUGAAUAUACCACUUUUUCUUAAGGUGCUCGCCCAAGGCUAAUUAUUAUAUCUUAUCUAAUGACAAAUCAUUCUUUCUUUCCCACUUGGCACUUGUGGUAGCUUAGCUGCAUUCCGCUUACUAGUUUUGUUGAGGUCGCUACUCUUUCUUCUCCUUGUUUAGGUCGGCUUACUCUUUCUUCUCCUUGUUUAGGGCGCUUACUCUUUCUUCUCCUACUGAGUUGUUUUAUGUAUUCUGGAAAUGACUGAUUCAGCUAAGGAUCUUACUUAAGCCAAAGAUAUCGUUAUGUUCUUAUUAUUGAUUAUGUCUAUAAGGGGUAAUUGACGAAUUACUAAUUCCAAAAGAGUCUUGACUAGCGCCCAAAGAGUCAAAGUAGGGCGUGGCCAAGCGGUAAGGCAUCGGGGUCCCUACAUUCGGAGGUUAUAAUCCUUCCGUCCCAGAUCGUUUCCAUCAUAAACUCAAGAUGGGAUCACAUUGUAUCCCACAUAAGUGUCAAAAUCAUAAAGAUAACAACCUUUUCUUUUGUUCUGAAUUAGGAGAAUGGAUUCUUAGAAUCCUAUUGCUUUCUAUCUUAUAUCUGACAUGUCAAAAAUCAAUAUAUUUGGAAAUCCAUGUAACGGGGCGGGGGGAUAUUUUGAUAUGGGGAAUCUAUUGGAACUUGAUUGUAAGGUAUAUAUGGAAGAAUUGUUGUAAGGGUAUAUAUGGAAGAAUUGUUGUAAGGGUAUAUAUGGAAGAAUUGAUUGUAAGGUAUAUAUGGAAGAAUUGUUGAACCGGUGAAAACAAUAUAUAAUAUAUCCUUAGAAUUGGAACUAGGCCUAUGUAAUCCGCUUGCUAUCCCUAUAUGUGUCUAUGCUAUCCAUGCUUUCCCUAUAUGCUAUCCCUAUAUGUGCUUAUGCUAUAUCAAAUAAGUUUCUUGUCAUUGUUGUAUUUCAAUAGCAAUGGCCUUUCACUAAAUCAUUUUAGGAAGGGGUGGAGAUCUCUUCUUCUUCAAAUAUCCACGAUUACCCCCAGUUACAAUAUGAUGAUUCGUAUACUUAGGGAAUGAACUAUCCGCUAUGAAUUUGGAGCAACUCAUUGUGCGUCGACUUGGUGAUGGAAUUAUAGAUCCAGUUCUUUAGUCAUGACUAUAAAACAUAGUUCCAGUCAUAAUGCUGAAGUGAAGUCGGAGAUCUUUUCAAACAUUCUUUUAUUAACUCUUGGUUGGUACUCGAAGAAGUAUGAGAAAUCCAUAGUAUAUCAACAAGAAAGGCAGUGAUUCAAGAGGAAUAAUUCCUAUCGGUGAAAUUCAUCUCUUCUCCCAGAUCUUCUUUGUAGUCCGGUAUAUGUCUGAAUUCAUCUUGUCAGUGUCAGUUAGAGGAAUUGUUUGACUUGGCUGCUUCCUUCGAUAAGUAGGUUCUUCCUUUUUUUGACUAUAUACCCCCUCGCUCUUCUUCUCCGUUUUGUAAGUGAAUUAAAGACGAACAUAAGAAAUAGUUGAACGAUCCACUUUUCUAUCCGGCUAGAAAUCCCAGAUAAGCAGUUUUGCCUUCUACACGUACUUUUGCCAAUGCAUCGGCUCUCUGUCCUAAAAACCACACCCGAAGAAAGGCCAGCCCAGAGCUGCUAUUCUAGUUAUUAUAGUCAAAAAGAGGCUAGGCAACGACUCUUCUUUGGUUAUUCUAGUGAAAAGAGGCUAGGCAACAACUCCUCUUUUGGCGGGAACACGAGCAAAGGCAACUUCCAAGUCAGCGGGUACUAGCCUGACAGCCCGACCUCACUAAGGAAUAGAAACAUAGAAAGGCCCUCAAUAAAAGGAAAGAAAGAGUCUCUUCCCCGGAAAACUCUCCUCUUGGUCAGCUGCUCCUCGGUCUCGAACGGUCCCCAGUUCGUUCCUUAAAACAAGAAUCCGCGCCUCUGGUCUUGUCUUGAAAUGAAAGCAAUCUCCUCUGGAAAGGCAUUACUGAGACGUCCGAAUCUCUUCUUAUCUUAUAUUCGAAGCAAGGACAUGUUGGCAGUGAAGUUCCACAGACGUGGUCCAGACAGAGACUAUACUUUCCCUUUCCAUUAGGGUUUUCUAUUGACCACAGACACAGUGCCCCAGAAAAGGCUUAGUAUUCGAUACUGUCGCAGGUGUCCCUACGGCUUCAGGCAGUUCUAUAGCCCGUGCCCACUUUCCCCACCGAGUCAAUCAAAAGUGUUUUGCUUUGGCUAAAGCCCUUUUGUAGAUCCAUGUGGGUCUCCGCCUUUGUCUUUUAGGCUAUAAGGUUGGCGCCCCCCUUUCCCCUGCCCCCCUGUCGUUAAAGAACUUAUUUAGACUUUCGCUUUCGGUUUCAUUUCAUCAGCAGUGAGGGUCUAGAAAAAACUCCUUUCACUGGUUUCCCCUAUACCCUAAGCCGGGCGACGUACGGUGUGACAGACAAAGAAGAUAUGCGUGGGAUUUAGUACCUUACGAAGGGGUAAUCCGACAACCUGUUUCAUCCAACGACAUCGAGGGAAACCCCAAGUCUUCGGGGGCAAGUAGACUAAAUGGAAUAUGAAAUCGCGGAUACACUCGGAACCACUCAAAUCAUGACGAGGUGAAAGCAAACUACUGCUGCAUUCUCAAUAUAUCAUAAGAUCGAUCUCAAAGUAAGGGCGGCAACUAUUAAUAUAAAGAAGGAGAGUGCGCGCUUCCCUUCACUGAUAAGACGGUACGAAAAAGAGUCUGCCUGCAUGAUCGUCCGCUACCUUAGAUUAUACAUCUGUCUUCGCCUAACCAACAUUACUGCAUUGGAUACUAGUGCAUACAGAGAAAAGCCCCUCUCGCUCAAGAUUUCAGGAGGUUACGACCUACUUUUCCUACAAAAACUCACCGCUUUAACUAACUGAGCUGCUUCCACUCCUUAAAGCACUAUCGCUUCCUACUGCUUUAAGUACCAAAAUAGUAUUAGCAUAUAAUAAGAUGAAGAUGCUCGAAAGGGUUCUUUGUCAAGCCAGAAAGCGCAAACCAAAGUUUUUCGAGAGGCCGACCACUUGAGACGGGUAUAAGAACUCACCCUUGUUAGGAAGUUUCCAGAGGGGCGCUUCAAUAGUGUAGAAAUGGGAAUCAAAGACGGAGGAGCCUAGCCUGAUUCUCCUGCUUCCUUCCUUAUCGCUAACCGAUGCUAAUCAUGCUUGACUUUACCUCUGAGAUUGUCCCCAGGCCCUUCUCCUACCUCUAUUGAUGGAAAAUAAGUAGGUCUGUGGUAAUGUCAAAGGUUCCCCACACCUUCUUUGUCUGAGUGCUGCCUCCUUCCUUCUUCCCGUCAAUCAUCGUUAAGGGUUUCAAAUCCAUAGGCGCUGCUAAAAUGGCUUCUUUCUGCCUUGGCUAUAGGAACAUAAUCUCCAUAAUAGGGCGGUUUGCUUCUGAGUAGUUCUGUCCUUCCCUCCCCUAUCCGAGAUGUGCUCUUGAAAGAUCUCCCUCUUCAGCUUGGUUAGGUCUUAGAGAAGUCACUUCUUUACCUAAGGUUGUAGCCAAGGGGAUACUUGAUUCUUCUAACAAAGAAGUAGCCAAGGGGAUACUUGAUUCUUCUAACAAAGAAAGCAAAGGAAAAUCUAUUAUGAGAGAAUCUUCCUUCAAAGAUGCUUUUCUCGAUUCCCCUACAUCUACGAAUGGCUAAAUGCUUUCUCACGUAGGGCUUACUAUAAGGGAGGGGUUCCGCUUUCUUUCAUUCCUAAAGAAGGAAGGGGAAGGUAUUUCCUCAUAAAGGAGUUUGUUCUUAGUAGCAGCCGGAUACCUUUAAAGAGAUAAGUCUACCUUUGUUCCAGCCAUUCUCAAGAUCUUUCAUUUCCGGUUUCAUAAGAGAGGAUAGCAUAUAGCUUAGCCUCAUUCCUAUAGCUCAUAGAGAAGUUCCUCUUAUCCAGCAUAUUUACAUUAGUCAAAUCCUACUGGUCGAUCAAUGGUUGUGCUUGAAGCCUUAUUCUCUGUAUCAGGCAAGAAGAGGAAAGGAAGGUAAGUUCGAGAUAUAUCAUAAGAAAGAGAAGAAAGAAAGAGAUGAACUCUUUAUAAGAAAGAGAAGAAAGAAAGAGAUGAACUCUUUGGAGCGCUUCUCGGCGGUAAGACAGACCGUGAAUGAAUAAGAAAGAAAGAAGAUAUAGUUCUAUUUCCUGCAUGAGGGAAAUCGACCGAUGGACAUGCUUGACUUUACGUAUAAGUAGUGCUAGGAUUACUUGCCUUAUUACAUAUGUCUUGCUAGUAUAUAGCAGUAGUCGGAGUAGCACUAGGAUAAGUCGGGGUCAGCACUUAGUAAACCUUUCCACUCAUACUUAAUAGUAUACCAUCACUGUUAGCAGACUGUGCCAUUCCUUACACUGUUAGAAUAACUUCUCAUCUCCCACCUUCUAUAAUGCGCAUAUUGAGACUGAGCUUGCUUGCAUUAAGCCUAUCGCCUGCCUCCCUAAGACCUUUCUAUUGUGCCUGUCGUUAACUCCAGUGUACCUUCCUUUCGGAGAGUGCCUUACUCUGAAGUAAUAGACUGAUUAGAUUGCCGGGAGUGGAUUCUUCUUUUUACCAAACAUAUGGGAAAAGGAUCCAAUCCAAUGACUUCGAAAGAAUGGAACGAGGAGCAUUCCACGGCCGGGGGAACAGAGGUAUCUCAUGGUUAGUUCUGUAGAGUAGCAGUAAGUGGGGAAUACUAGCUUGCUUUAGGAACUUACUAACUUCGCCGAGGUAACUAUGUCCUCAGCCGAGCCAACUUCAUCAGCAGUUCUAUAUAUGGGUGUUGUCGACACAAGAGAAGAAGCACAAUCCGGAUUAGCAGAUGUGUUUUCAAGUCCACUAUACUCAAUAAUUAGCUUUGCAUUAAAGUCAAGGUUGUCGACAGGAGAAUCUCAAGUGUCUUUCUUUUCUUCUAUACCAAAAGCUCAAUAAGAGAGAUAUUCAAUUCAAAGGUAGACAUCAGAAGAUGCUGUGCCAGGUAAAGUCAAGUUCCGGGAAAGAAUCUAUUACUGGCCGGGGAAGGUAAGAAGAAAAUACUGGCUACGCGGUUCAGGGAAGAGAAUAAUAAAGUACUUCCGAAGCAAGGUGUCAUGGAGACGCGACAUCAAGCCAAUAAUCUCUCUAUACUGUAAGUUAAGGGUUUAGGGCCGCCGGUGACGAAGAAAACACUUUGAUCAGGGUCCUUACACCUUUCCAUACUAUAUGCAAAAGAGAGAGAUUCCGCAAUUCCAGAAUCCGCUGGAGAAGGUUAGGAAGCAGUUCUGGUUUUGCCGACGAGAUCAGUAGAGUAUCUUUCCGUGCAAGUGAAGUCUACGAGAUCAUCCGGAUCUGAAUAAGAAGGGAAGGAGUGGAGUCAGAAGAAAAUAGCCAGUACCAUCUUCUGCCCUACCCAAAAGAAAGUAAUCCUUCCUUGCCUACCCAAAAGAAAGUAAUCCUUCUUUGCUCUUCCUUUCAUGGGGUUUAUUCUGCCGCAAUCCUUCUUUGCUCUUCCUUUCAUGGGGUUUCUUCCGCCGCCCUUAUUAUCUGUCAACAAACAAAGCAUUAGUUUGAGAGUGAGAUUCUGGAAAAGGAACUAAAGCAGAGGCUUUAGAAAGAGGAUCCGACCUCCCGAGCUUAUUAUCUUUAGAAAGAGGAUCCGACCUAGCUUAUUAUCUGUCUUCGGCAGGCAGGAUCGAAUGAGGAUGAUGGGACGAAUGAAUGCUUUUGAAACUACAGUUAAGAGCUUGCUUCAUUUGAUGCUAAGGAACGGAACCUUACUUAUCUAAGUUGCCGGAUAGUGGGAUAUGCCGUACUCUGAUUCAACCGCUUAUGUUCUUCGCCAAUGUUCCAAGGAUAAGGUUGAACACCUUCUAACAUAUACUUACGGACUACUCUGUUUUCUCACUUUUCGAAAUGCUCCUAAGGUAAACAACAUUUUGGACUAGUGGAAUUAGGAGACAAUCUUCUAAAUGUGCCAAGAAAGAGGUGCCCCAAUAGAUAGCUCUGCGGGACAGAUUCCUUCUUUGAGGCUUGGUAUGAUACGGUUCAGUUCCCUUUCUGCAAGGGCGGUGGGCCUGGACAAGUACGCUACUAAAUUCCACCGGAGUACUAAGAUCUAGAUCGAGACUAAGCUCUCAGCCAAGGAUAACUUAGAUGGGCUUCUUUCCCCACUAUUCAAUCCUUAGUUAAAGGGGCCGGUCCGAAAGCUCCGUUUUCUAUACAGCCGAACGCAUAAUUCCAGUUAUUUAUUGUCUCCAGAAAGCGAAACUACUAUCGUUACGCUGCACCAUCAUACGCAGGAAUGGAAUAUAGAGAACCGCUUCUUUAAUACCUUUCAAUAAACUCCUCACUUAGACAUGGCAAAACGGGACCCAUAAUAGGAACCCGUGGAUCUGAAGUCAACGCAGAAGGAUUGGAUUAUGCCUGAAUUAAUAGUAAAGGCCCUGCUUUCCAGGGGUGGAUUAGAGUUAGCAGAGAUGAAGGAAGUCGGGGGUGCUCCUACUAUUGGGGUGCUCGUUAAGUCGUUAAGUUACUGUGGAGCUUCUGUUGGGACUGGGCCUGGCAAUACUGUUCGAAUAGAACCUAGCUCAUUACUGCCUUCCCGCUUCAAAGCAUGGAAUUGACUCUGCCCCACCCUAGUAAUAGGAAUGAAACCACCUUCCCGGAUACCCAGUCCACAAAGAAUGAAACACAAAAGUAGGAAAGGUCGGAAUGACACUAAAGCAGAAGAAUGACCUGCUCCCUUAACUACAACUACCAAGUAUUCAAGUCAGAAGUAAGCCCCGCCAAGAGUCGAGGUGGGCAAGAGAGGCAGUUAGAGCGGAUCCUGUUCUAGCUUCUGAUUCAUAUCCUGCUCCAGCAAGACCAAGACUAGAAGUAAGGGAAGACUGAUUGGAAAUGAAUAAAGUCAAGGCUUUGGUGCGAGGCGAGAGAUGGCUCUUAGCACCUUAUUUGUUGAGACUCGGAUCAAGACUUAGUGGCGAGUUUACAGUGAAAAGUUCCAUUUGUUGAAUGAGUUGGGGCAAGCUAGUAGUUGAUUUAUUAUACAACAUAGCAAUCCGGGUGUAGCAAUGAAAGGUAUUGCUCGAGGCAAGGGGAGGCCCUUAUAGUAAUUGCCAAGAGAGGAAGGAGAGGCCAGUUGCCAGAGGUAUACGGAUGCGGCAGAUUGGUAAUACACCUUAAUGCUCGAUCAAGAGCCCGCCGGUUAGUUCAUCGAUUCUGCAUAAAAAUAUCGAUUAUUAUGUUAGGAUAAAGAGCUACUGUUGCUACUUAGUUUCAUUCUGACCUUACUAUUAAAGCCUCCACUCUCACUCUCACAGGAGCAGUAAAGUAUCUCGGAACAGUCGCUAGGGAUUGCAGAAGAUUGGUCAUAACCUUUCCCUUAACAGAAUCCGGGGAGAUUAGGUGAAAUAGCCGCCCUGUCGCGCCACUAAUAACUCAUUACUAUAUUCUUAUUGGAAUGUUUUCUUUCUAUCCAUCUUAUAUAAGCUUCUAUAAUAGACUUGACUUUAGUACACCUCGCAUCAAAGCCAAGAAGACUGGUAUGCCUGGUAUGCCCGGUAUGCCUGCUGGAUACCUAACAACUCUACUAAAGACAAAGUAAGCAUCAAGUGAUAAGGUAGCUGCAAGCGGGUCUUCACUGAACAGAUGGUUUUCCCCUUCCCCACUGCUCGAAGUAAAGUAUUUGGUUUUUGUCUUUUUUCUGAACUUGUAAAUUCAAUCUGAUAAUAAUAACAGAUCUCGGAUCUCGGAGAGCAGGGCAAUAAGAGAGGUGGACAGGCAAGGUCCAAUCUUUCACCAAGGAAAAGAGGUGGGUUCGGGUGAUGGCAAUGAGAGAGGCUCAACGCACCUCUGUGCUAACAAAGAUCGAAAUAUUCAAUAUGCGAGUUGGAGUCGGGCGCUAAGCUAAGAGAGUUCAAUUCCAGAAGCUCAGGGAUUAGUAGGUGGAGCAGUUAUUGACUUUCCCCUUUCCCGAGUCGGGUGCUUAGAAACUAUAAGAAAAGGUGUUAGCCCUUUCGUUUCGGUGGAAGUCUUCGUAUUAGAUAUAUAGAAAUAGGGGACAAUUAAGAGAUGGGUAACCAGCUAGAGAUAGAGAUUGGUAAGGGUAUAGUUAUUGUUGCCCGAGGAUGGGUAUGCAAGGGUGAAGAAGAAAGAUAUGGGUAUCAGGUAGAAAGAGAAGAAAGAGAAUUGCCUGUUAUAUAGUUCAAGUAGAAGUGAAAGUAGAUGUUUCAUCCUCUAUAGAAGCUGUUCCAGUGUUGGCGAUCAGAUGCUUGCUUGAUCAGAAGGUGUUUCAAGAUCCUUUCUAACGCUCUAAAUGACUACCUUUUAUUCCCUUCCUUCUCUCUGCUACAAGCCGAGUGAGAGUGAAAGUGGCAAGUAAAGUGGCUUGUGUUUCAGUCUGAAGCGGUACCUCGAGAUAGAGUUCAAGUGGCAAGUAAAGCUCUUAAAGCAAAGGUUUCCUGUUCCGUUUUCGUAUCAGCAUCGGCGUCAAGAGUCACUGUUGUGCGUAAGGGAGCUGCAAGUGCAAUUGCUUAUGUCAGGCGAUGAGAAGGAGUUGGCUUACCAGAAUCAACUGACAUACAUAUGUUUGUAACCAAAGGGAGAGGUAGCGGAACCUGCGAGGGAACUAGCAUCUGUCCCUUGAAAUCUAUAUUUGCUACUCACAAUAAGCUGCUGUUCCAAUGUUUGGCUUAGAAGCGGGAAGGAAAGAAAGGAACUCUCAUUAUUGAGUUUGUAGGAGUUGUUCUGGAGUCCUGUAUUUAUGGCUAAAGUGAGUUAGUAGGCUAUUCAGGUAUCAAACUAUCGAACAGAACCCACCCCUCUUAGACGUCAAGCCAACAAACACAUCAUUAACAGGCGGAUGCGGAUUCUCUGUCUCUUGUCAACAAUGAGGGUGCUACAGGGGCAGGGCAGGGGAAAACUCUACUCAAAAGUUUGAAUUGAACUCCUUAUUGCAAACCGACUAUAUUUCUUGCUGCCAAUAACUAUCUUGGAGACAACACUCGAACAGAAGGAUACAAAACGGUAGUAUACCUCCGCAUCAGAAGGAACUAUCUCUCCACGACCAACAUAAACAACUGGAGAGAGACUUUCUUACUUGCUCAUAACUCACUACCUUUCUACUAUUCUUCUCUACUUAACCGUUACGUGGGCAGUUUCGCAUUAAACAUUCCAUUCUUUCGACAACACUCUCACUAGGCGAACGAACAAAAAGACAAUCCGGCAAUUCAUUUACCAUACCCUCUUCUCUCUCUACUACAAGGAGCUAAAGGAACUCUACGACAAACAAAUACUUCAUUUCUAUCUAUCGAGUAAGCAUGUGAUAUAUAAUCCAAAGGGUAAAUAGACUGAACGAACAAGUCCUUUUUUCGUCAUGGCGGUAGGGCAGCUAAGAACCACUUCUCAAAUAGCUAAUUUCCCUAUGUUGGUACCCGGAAAACUGGAAUGGAAUCUCUCUCGUCAACUACAGGAAUUUCAUAUCUAUAGAACCAGUAUUUGAACCAACCUUCUUCUUUACCUUUUGAACCAACCUUCUUCUUUACCUUCUGAAGAUCUCGUUGAUGUCGACUUUUCUUUCUUCGGAUCCUUCUCUUGAAACUGUUUCUGAUCGCAGCUUCUUCACUUGCGGAUUCCCUUGCUUUAGAAUAUCAAUUAUGUGCAUUCACUACAAUAGACAGACCAGUGGGGAGAGUGAUACUUAUUUCAACCAGACGAGAUACUAUACUUUAGACGAUACCGAUAUCGCAUUAACCACAAGGCAGAGUUGGGACAGUGAACAAGCUACGUUUUGCUUUCCUUUGAGGUUGGUUUCUCUUCUCUUCCAUCUGCCACGGAACCGUCGUGUUCAGGAGCUAGGCGGGAAAGAAAAGCACUUUCAUUUUCAAACAAAUGCAGGAAAUGCUUAGCCAGCCGUUGCAGAAGCACUUGUUGGUGCAGAAGCACUUGUUAGUGAGUGAUCGCUUGUUAGUUAGUUUUCUUAAUGAGAAGUAUCGCUUGUUUUGGGUGAGUCUUUCUAAUAUGCUGUGGUUAGUUACUUCAUUCAUAUGCAACCUAAGCUAACGCUUACUUCUCUUCUGGGCACUGGGCAAUAAUAAAGUCAAGGUGCUUGGUGGCUUUCCCUUUGCGUGGAGCAGGGUUUUUCGAGUUCUUUACGUUGCUGGGCUUUCCUUUCCCUUGUAGUGAUCCAAGCAUUUCAGUUCAGAGGAAGCUGUCAACCUUACAAGUCAUAAUGUUACGCGUUAUAAUAGUUUCUACCCUUAACUAAAGCAAGCUGUCAACCCAACAAUAAACUCUCUCGUACGACGUCAAACCAAGAAUCUAUAUCGUAAACCACUUUAGCACCCAAAGGAACAACACUUGAAGAUUCAUAAUGGAAUUGAAACUCUCCAACAGUCCAACGAAUGCAUUUGUAGCCUAGAGCAAGUCCUUUCUGCGUUGGCUAUGUUAGCACAUAUACUGUUUUCGCCUGGAGCAAGUUCUUAUUUCGUUGAUUGAAACCUUGCUUUUUCACUAGCUUCUUGACUUUGCUUUAUAUACGGAAUUCGUGUUGAGCCGGUAAGUUUCUAAUUACGUAUAGAAAAAGAGAAUAUUCUGUGAGACUACGACUUUAUACUACUUGUUUGGUCUGCAAGAGAAGUUAUUGUGUCCGUAACUCUCAAAAGGUAGGCUUUUCAGAGAGAGUGAAGUUUGGGGGAGACGAAGCUGUGCUAAGGGAAGCUACAAUUCCAGUUUCGUUUGUGGAAAAAGAUAGUAUUGGCUCUUAAGCUAGCAAGGUGUCGUGGACGUAGAGAGUCUCUUUGUGCUUCUGAUGCGCUAAGUCCUGAUUACCCUUACGCUCUUUCAGCUUUACUUGGAAAUAAGUCUUCUUGCCCAACACAUACCUUAACCUUGAUUAUUGCCUUCUUAUGCUUAAGUAUAGGGUUCUAAGUCUACCGAGAGAAGUUAUUGACCUGACCGCGAGAGAGGAAAUGAAUGAUUCAGACAGGACAGACCCAGACUUCAGCACUAUAAUAAAUGGUAAGUGGAAGGAUUCUUUGUAUACCUUACUGAGUUUGACAGAAAGAAGGGAAUAGAGUAUCUCGCUCGUAUCGAGAAGCCGAGCCUAGAGAAGAAUCUUUUGAAGUGAAAAAGUAAGCUGCUGUCAGAGUUCAAUUAACAGUUUUCCUUGGUGAAAGUGAAAUGACUGUUUUCGUCUUGUUCUGUUCGCAAGUAAGUUGAAAGUCAUUCUGCUCUUUCUUGUUAAGGUCUUACCAGAGAGAGAAUCCGCAUGAGAGUUGAGUGUUGCGGUAAGGACGGGACAAUCUGUUUACCAUGAUAUUGCCUUAUUCCCCGGGACCUGAAUUAUGUCCUUCUUCAGUGCUAACGAGCAACAGAUGAAGCAGUUAGAGGAAAGUAGAGAAGUUAUGUUGCUGCAAGUGAACCAUCAAGUGAAGAAGCUGUGUUAGCUCCCGAAUAAGCUGUUCCAAAGUAAGCUGCAAACGGGUAGUCUUAAGUUGAAGUCUGAACUUCCCGGUGGUGUUCUUGUUUUGUCAACGAGAUCAGGAUCUUAAUAAAGAGAAGAUAAAGGAUCCGGCGUGAAAGUAGGGGGAAAGGAAGCUGCAUCGCCUGUUGCAAGGUUGAGCCUCAAGUCAGCGGGAAAGAUAGAUGGAUCAGACUCAGGCGCUGGGUUAAGGACAUAAUGUAAAGGCUUUGAAGCGUUAGCGGUUCCAACUUCAAGUUUCGUUCAAGGAUAGUUUGGGAGAGUGUAAGUUGAAGCGGAAGCAAGAUCGGAUCGGAAUCUUAUUCAAAAGACAGAGAACCUGGGUAUUUACUUGACUCUAUACUACAUGUGCUCGAUAGAUGAAAUUCCAUUCAUUCAUAUUGCCCCAUACUAAAGGCAAAGUUGUUGACAGAAGAUCCCCUGCUUGAAAAUGCAUUUGAGCCUAAGAAAUAGUCCUAUAGCUCUUAAACAUCAACUGAAACAAUAACUUCCAACUCCACUUGAAGAAACGAACUCCACUUUACUUCCAGCACUUGCUGCUAAUGACAAAACCUCUUCUGAUCUAAUUACUAUUUAUAUUGCACAGAGACCCUUAUUUAGCUUAUUGCCUCUUUAUACUUUACUGUGGAGCUGACUUCCUUUCUCUACGAAAACUAAGGUCAAACCAAUCACUGACACCGACCUUUCACAGUUCUGAACCAACAACGCAUGAACCUCUAGCGUAAACAAAGAGCUACGCUACCCUUAGACACAAGUAGAAGAUCGAACCUCUCUCCCACCAAAAGAACAAGACUCCAAGUUUCGCUAACCAACUUAUAAGAAUCGCUAUGACCAGACUUUAGCCUUAUUCUCGGCUGGCUUCAAUUCCAUUCAUCUUUAUUGAGGAUAAGACUUAUUGCCAACAGGAUAAGACGGAUUGCCUACUUCCCUUCCCGACCCGAACUCUACUACAAGGAAGAAGAAAGCCCUUCACUUUCUUGCAGGACAUAGGCAUAGGCACCGUGAUCCAUACUAUACAAUAUACUUUAAUACAAUAAAUAUACUUGACUUCCAUACUAUACAAUAUACUUUACUUCAAUCAGAAAAGAAAGAAUGGAAUGACACUUAUGGAGGAAUAGAAACCUUACUCUAAACUCAUAGCUUUGCUUCCUUAAUAACCUUUGACUCUAAACUCGUAGCUUUGCUCUUCCUUAUAACCUUAUUGUUCCGUUGCUUGUUAGCUUAUUCUUGUUAGCUUAUUCUUUUCUGCUGUAGUUAGUUGGGCUGAGUCACCCUUGAAUAGAUUUGAGUUCGGAAUCCGAAGAACCUCUCUCUCUAUCCACGAGACUGAAUUGCUUCUUCUAAAGAUUAUGACUUUAUUCUUCUAAAGCAUACUAUAGCAGAAAUAAUAGAAAAGAAAAUAUGACCGAGCCCUCUAAAGUUCAAGUAAAGGGGUGCUUGGCCAUUUGAGAACUCUCUUGUGCUAGACCCUUUUUCCCUUGAUAGUCUUUUGAUACUGGGAAACUUGUAAAAAGACCGAACUUCUACUUUAUAGAUAUAGAUCCGAGCCUCUAAUUGACUCUUUUUUUUGCUUAUGCUUAAGCCCGGAAUGGAUUGACAUACCUGCUUUUGCAAACGAGCUUGCCUAUCGCUACAAGAGAGCUCGGUUCACUUGCUUACUCUCUGAGUGCAUUGCUUGAAAGAGCUCUUUGCGACCUCUUCUCUUGCCCUUCCUUCUCUUGUGCCGGGCGUGUGAUCGAUUGGACCUUCCCCUUUUCGCCUGUAAUAGGAUCAAAGCAAAUGAAAGCGGUGGAUUUGAUGCUCUCCGGAAACAGCCGAAAUUGCCGCGGAUGCAGAGUUAGCACUACCUUGCUUCCGUCCCUCACCCCUUCUUUUCCUAUGUCGACGUUGCACAAUGACUUUACGUUAAGGGGUCAGUCAAGGUAUACACAAUGACUUUACGCUCAGGGGUCAGUCAAGGUAUAAUUCGUCAUAGUUUCCUUCGUUAGUCAGUAAUGUGGGUUGGUUUGCCUUCUAAUCCAGCUUGAGAUCGGCCAGUGUUUACUCGGAGUUCUAGUUAUAUUCGUGACUUCUUCGCAUCUAUCAAUCAAAUGACAUGCUCGACAUCCAUUCUAUCACAACCCGCGCCCAUAUUUGGCUAAACAAAGCACUUUAUUAUUAGUAGCUGGUUCAACAAGAGCAAUUGGAUCUUAUUGGCUUGCUUAUUCAAGUAGUUUUAGUAAAGCCAGUGUUUUUGUCCUAAACGCCUCUUCCCUUUCAUCCAUUACCGCGCAAUAGGCUGCUCUUUUUCCCAUCUCUUCUCCUCUUGCCUGCUAGACCCAAUGGAAUGGAAAAUAAGGCAAGCGCUAGCUACCUCCUUGCACGGGAUUUGUUUCCAAGAAGAAGUUGAUUCCAUCCUGCUAGUUAGAAUCCCUCACUUCACUCCCUAAAGGCGGAUUAAGACUAAGGCUAUUCUCGGGAGGCAAGGAAAGAGAUAUUCAAUCAACCAAGCAAAGAACCGAUACCACUACCACAGUAUUAACCAAGACAGCGGGAAGGAAUAGAGUCGAGCCCAAUAGAUAGGAAGAAAAAAGAAAAGCCCGGGCAAGAAGAGGGGACAACCUCGCUCUUGAAGUGAGUCCUCUUCUCUUAGUGGGAGUCAGAGUUAAAGCUACCUGAGCUAACUGCUUUUCACUCGAAUUAACUUCACUGCUCUUAGAGCGAGAAAAGGGAGUCGACAUCAAAACGGAACUUCCAAUCUACAUAUAGGGGGGCAGCUUCCUAUCCUAAAACUAGACCCCGUGUGACUCUCCAGCUUGUGUUCGCUAACUUAAAUGAUCUGUCAUCCAAGCAAACAGCACUUCUUUCCUAAUAAGAUUCGAGGGUGUUAGCGAUAAAGAGCACUAGGUUUACGAGAUAUAUAGGUCAAUUCCAUUAUUGAGUGUAUAAGGGUUCGUUAAAUAAAUAUACUUAUGUGCUAUAUGCCUUCCCAGUAUAGGAAAGAAGUUGAUAAUAAGGAAUUCACUGCAUUAGUGAAAGAAUAGCCAAGUGCCAGAGACCACAGAGCUCAACUCCAAGGUAAGAAGUCACAACUAUACUACAGUAUAAAGUGAAUAAAGAGAGGCAUAGGAUCAAAGCUACAACACCAUAAGAAUUGGAACAGAGUAGUCCAAGCCUGAACGCGGAGUACUUUAACACAUAAGUUAGCCUGCCGCUCCUGACCUCCAAUCUUAUCCCUGCCCGGACACUCCCGCUUCUGAGUUUUGCUCUGCAAUUAAUAACUAUAAUAACCGAGCUGCACAGAUAAAAAGAAUGAUAUCUCGGCCAAGCCUUGUGCCUGUUAACUUCCAAGCCUUCCCUUCCUUUCUAUUAGACUUACUUCCUGCCGAUUAGUCUACUUAUACUUACUUUUAGUCUUCCUUCCAUUGCUUUAACUCCUCCGAAUUGAACUAUUCACCGAAGAAGGACAGAAACAAGGAAGAAAACGACUACCCCAAAAUGCAUUAUUUAUAAGAUAAGGAGCUGGUAACUAAUAGUAGUGAAAUAAGAUAGGAGCGGGUAACUAAUGCUUGAGUGGAAUUCUUACGGUUACUACUGAUGUGACUAAAACAAUAGGCAGAGUUGGAGGUAUGCAAGAACUCAUUCACUUAGCACUGAGGCGAGGUAGGCCAGGUGGGAAACUGCAUCAGUCUUGUUCCACGCUGUGAAGAAGGUAGCCUACUUUGACUAUAAACUUAGAGAUUGAAAUUGGUAAGUUGAUGUAUAGAAUAGAAGAACUUAGAUUUAGCUGUUACUACGGGAGAUUGGAAUUAGAAUAAGUGUAAAUAAAAUAGACUACUAGACCUUAGCUACGAGGCCCUUAUAGUAAUUGCCAAGCAUCUCUGUCUGUUUAGGGUGUGAGUUGGCGACGAAAGAGGUAAUUGUUUCGAUUCUUAAAGGAGAGUUUCUUUGUUACAUCGACUAAGAUGUUUGGUUCAAAUGCAUUCUAAGGCAAGUUGAUGAGUUGAAAUGAACUGUAGCUGGUGGUAUUGUUGCUGGGUGCUCAAGAGGUUAUUGUCCCGCUUCUGCUGGUGGUAUUGUUGCAGGGUAGGGUGAAAUGAUGAGUUGCGAGUUGUGAGUUGAAGCCUGAGCGGACAGUAGUAAAGCCUGAGAUGCACUGGUUGAAGUCUUGGAUUGCUGAGCUUGAUUCUUGUUGGGGCGAGGCACUGUUUGAUUCUUAGACUUAGGGGUUCAAUUCUGAUCUCUGGAGAAGAGGUCUAAGGCUUAGUACCCUUGCUUUCAGUCUUAGUAUACCUUUUAGCAGUCCCAUACUAGCUACCCUUGCUUUCAAGCUUAGAUGCAGUGGUUCAAUUCCCAGACUACCCGGUUUUAGUCUUUGAUGAGCUUCUNNNNNNNNNNNNNNNNNNNNNNNNNNNNNNNNNNNNNNNNNNNNNNNNNNNNNNNNNNNNNNNNNNNNNNNNNNNNNNNNNNNNNNNNNNNNNNNNNNNNNNNNNNNNNNNNNNNNNNNNNNNNNNNNNNNNNNNNNNNNNNNNNNNNNNNNNNNNNNNNNNNNNNNNNNNNNNNNNNNNNNNNNNNNNNNNNNNNNNNNNNNNNNNNNNNNNNNNNNNNNNNNNNNNNNNNNNNNNNNNNNNNNNNNNNNNNNNNNNNNNNNNNNNNNNNNNNNNNNNNNNNNNNNNNNNNNNNNNNNNNNNNNNNNNNNNNNNNNNNNNNNNNNNNNNNNNNNNNNNNNNNNNNNNNNNNNNNNNNNNNNNNNNNNNNNNNNNNNNNNNNNNNNNNNNNNNNNNNNNNNNNNNNNNNNNNNNNNNNNNNNNNNNNNNNNNNNNNNNNNNNNNNNNNNNNNNNNNNNNNNNNNNNNNNNNNNNNNNNNNNNNNNNNNNNNNNNNNNNNNNNNNNNNNNNNNNNNNNNNNNNNNNNNNNCAGAAAUGAGAAAAACAAUCAAUUAGAAAUCACAAAUAAUCCAGAGCCAGGUAAUAUAGAAUCCAAUCUGGCAACACUCCCUAGUCAUUAACUCCUCUUGCUACUGCUACUAAUACAACAACUACCGGUAUUCCACUGGCAGCUACUUAUAGAUCUCAGAGAAUUAAUACCUUUCCUACCCGACCCUAUAAUGAAAAACGAAGCCCUGCCCUGGACUCGUCACUUUCAUAAUUUCAUUCAAUCUCAGAUGACUCAUUUAUUAUAUACAAAAUCCACGAACUUAUUUCUACGCUUCCCUUGAUACUUUACCUAUGGAGUUGAGAUCAUCUUCCUUAAAGGAUUCCACUGGAGCAGCUCUCUCCCGAACUCUGCUUUUACGCCUGAUUGAGAGCGCAGAAGAUAAGAUUGCUUUGUGGAUUAAGAUUGCUUGUUCUCUCUAAAGCACCUACCCGCUCAAAUAAGUGUUAGUGCAACAGCCUGUUCAAACCAAUAAGUGUGGUUUGCGCCCCAAGAACUAAGCGUAAGCACAAUUGCUUGUUGACUUCUGGAAUGGAAUUAGUUGACUACCGGCCCAUUAAUUAAGAGCACAGGUACCGGACAGGGUCGAUUAUUUACCCAUAUCCUUCAUGCCCAUGCCUAGACCUACAUCCUUCAUGCCUAGCUCCCUCUGCUUUACCUGCUUAAGAUUCUAAGGAAACUUCUUCUUAGCGUCAAAGAUGAAUUGAGUCUCCAUCUUUUGCAUAUAAUUAUGGAAUGGAAACGGACUCUUUUCUUUCUGUUAAGUAUGUUUUGUAAGGAAAGGAAGCAAGCCACUAGAGCAUUUUAGGGAGUUUGUCAGGAAAGGAAGAGCAAAGGGAAGACUAAACCAAACCAAAAUAAGGGGCUUGGAAGCUAUCAGUGAAUUCUUACAGUCAUUCUCACAGGCACCGGUUUCGUUCUCAUACCCCUAAGCAAACUCUUAUUCUUAUGUACUUGUUUUAUCCUUACUCGUUGUAGCUUCGUUCCUGUUCUUAUUAGUAUAGUUUGAUAACCCAGGGGAGUCACUCACUCCUAUACAACGACGUUCAAUUCUUUGUAUUUUGGUUAAUUCCGAUACUACUGUAGCGAGCUCUUACUUCUUUGUUUAGGGCAACUUCUUUUGGUACUCUACUUGUGGGCAGUGUUUCAAUCCGGACUUAGUGCGCUACACGAUACAUUCUGACUUUCAUUAUAAAUGGAUUAGGCAGGAACAGCAAAGUUAGAGACAUGAUAGCAAGAAUUUAAGGAACAACUACAAGAACUAGAUACGGGGGGGGCGAAGGCAAACUCUUUUUUGCAGGCUUUACUUUUAGGUGGUAUUUACAGACGGAUAUAGUUGGUAGCGUAAGGCUAAGAGAGAGCAGUGUCCGUUUUGGAGCUAGUGAAUAAAGGCAUUGAGGCAAGGUAGGCUCAUAGGUUUUAGUCGCAUUAUUAUAGGUAAUAGUUUGAUCCCUUAUUCUAAGAUAAAGUAUUGAAAUAGGUAGUUCAAUCCUUAUUCGCAGAGGAAUCGGACUUAAACAAAGGUGCUGAAAGCCUCGAGGCCCGUAACUACAGAAUAAGAGUCAGGUCGGUAAGCGCGUAGGGGGAUUCUGAUAUUGCUAGUAAAGUAUGAGAAGCACCAGUUGGUUUCUCAGUUAUUGAUUCAAGCAUUAGAAGCACUAGUCGCAUUCUUUUUAUAGUAGUGGAUUUCCUGGUUUCUUUCCCGGUUCGGCUAUUGCCAGUAGCUGUGUCAUUCCAAGUUUCCAGCUAUAUCCCUAUAGUUGCAGUUGCCUCAUCAGUAGUGUUUCUAUCCAUGUAGGGGCGUUUCGAUUCCCUGUUCCGAGUUAAGAUCUUAGAAGCGGUAACUCAAUUCUGGAUUCUAUUAAGUGAAAGCAUUAGAAGCGCUAGCUACAGUUUGAAAGUAAGCAUAGUCAGAAUCCACAGUUAGUAGAACAAAGAUAUGAAUCGGGAGUUAGAGAAUCCAAAGUCAAAUACAAAACUCAACCCAGCAGUAAGGGGAUGAAAACUAAGAUAGUGAGGGCGAUAGUAAGUAGAACAAGUCUGUUAGCCAUAGGUUGAUUCUCUCUUAUGAGAUUAUGGACGAGAACCUGGAGAGUAAGCCCGAGAAGCUGCAGUUCUAUUCUUAGAUGUAGUAAAGCAAGCAUUACUAGAUUAAGCGCGGCUGGUUAGUUGGAAUAGGAGUUUAGUGAAGGACAUCUUAGGUGCCAGUAUCGGCAGUGCAGAUGUUGAUUCCACGCUCACUUACUUUGUAUCCAGGUAGGGUGGUGGACUGACUUGGUGGUCCAACUGUUGUUGCAAGAGAAGUCGAAAGUCCAUUAUUGGCCCUGACCUAUAGGCCCUAUAGUUCAAGAGAAGAAGUAGCCCUUAUAGUCAGUUUCGGUUGAAGGUGCGAGUGUUGGUUCGUGGCUUUCCCUUUGCGUGGAGUACACGGUUGAAAGUUGGCUUGUUCCUGCGCUGGCUUAGUCUUAAGGAACGGUAUAAGAAGAUGAAUAAGCUGUUUGUAGUUCCUUGACUUCUAUCCCAUGUGUUCAAUAAGAUAAUAAAUGCUGUAUUUACUCCUCAAUGAGUAUCUGUCUGUUCUUGUUUCAAAUCCCUUGUUUUAUCGUAUCUAGUUGUUUGCUCCUUUAAGAAUGGAGUUGACUACUAGAAGCCGGGAAAAAAGCCGAAGAUAGCAAAUGAACUCUAAACUCGUUCCCCCAGUAGCUGCCUUCCGAUGGUAUCUUUUAAGGGCUCGUGUCUGGUCGGCUGUAUACUAGCUUCUCUGAGCAUGCGUGAAUCCCUGUCGGAAAGUAGAUUCCUCCGCAUGAAGGGAAAUCAAUUGCGUCUCGACUACCACCCUACCCGGGACUGUAAACUAUCCCAACAACCCAUAAUGACAUGACUGGAAUCUAAAGAAGUCGCUUGAACCCCUCGGUGCCGUAUUAUGAUGGAGAGCAUAAACCGUUGGGUCGCUGGAAGAGCAUUUGGAUUUGUCUAUGAAACUACAGCCUGGGUGGAAUGAUCCCCGCUUUCCUCGUUCAUAUGUGACCUCACCUCAUCUCCGUCGGUUGAAGACGAGGCAUCUUCUGACCCCACCCACUUAGCUCCCGGGGGGCAAACUGGAGGUUUGUGUUGGUAGUCUUCUAUCCCCUCUGGAAUGCUAAGUCUUGCUUCUAUCUUCGUCCAUUCUCCAGCGUAGUCUUUUGAACACCUCCUAAAGCUGCUUCUUGAAUACCGCUUUCUCUUUAUCCCAUUCCCACUUUCUCUGGUUGACAAAACCACUUUGCGCAGAUCACUCCUACACGAGUAUUAUACUAGCCUUAUAAAUAGCCUUACCAGCAACGGGGCUUGCUAAAGGGCUGUGAACGUUAACCAUUUGAAGUCGUAAGGCAGGCUACUUACUAAGGCAUUUCAUCAGGUCUGGAAGAAGUGGAAAGAGAAAAGGCAUUCGAGCAAAAGCGACUUAUUCUUGAAAAAUGUUUCUAUGGGGGUUAUAAGGAACUUGAAAAAGGCAUGGAAAGAAGUCUGCCCCUCCUUUUUCUAGUGAAUGUCGGAAAUCUUAUUAGAGAUUGAGAUUCUUUCUUGUCUGAGACUGUAGCCAGCUUAUAAGGAGAGUGAUGCACUAUUCGCUAAUUAGGAAAGAGGGUUGACUCUUGCUUGUCGAUCUCUAUUCCUCCUAUUGUAUAUUAAGGUCGAUCUCUAUUCCUCCUAUUGUAUAUUAAGUAUGUAACUUGCUUUCACUAGUAGCUGCUAUUCUCCUCACUGCAGAUAAGGCCAAAACUGCCUAAUACUAUGUCCUGUCCCCUGCUCUUAGAUUCACAAUGGAAUUGAAGAUAGCGCUAUCACAUCACAUAUAGAAAUUGUAGUAAAAACACAGAGCUCUAUAGUGUGGUUACAAAUUCUAUAUAUAAGAAUAUAUGUAUACUUAUUCCGGAACCUUCUAAGAAUAUAUGUAUACUUAUUCCGGAACCUUAUAUUGAUUAAGGCUUGGAAUCUCCCAAUCACCGGAUCGGAUCAGCAGUGAAAUGUAUUAUUAUAUAUCUGAUAGCUUAUUAAGUGGGUGGGCACUCCCAUAAAGUCUGUCUACAAAGCCCUUGACUUUCGCCUAAGGCAUCAGAUCCUAAGGUUUGAUAUGAAAUGGCUCUAUAUCCAGCCACUUCUUCGUCAUCAGCAAAGAGAAGUUACUAGCGGGUCGUCGAUAAGGAACUUUCCCCUUAUUUGGUUGGGGGCAAAGAAGAGCUUAAGACACCCUUUGUUUGCUUGGCGGUAAACUGAACUUUGCUAAUCGGGGCUUAUGAAAGACAUAGAAAACACAUUCAGACUGCACUUGAAAAGAGGAGUGGAAUAUAGAAAGAGCACACGCAACGCAACGGAGCCCUUCUUUAAACACCAACACCAGUAGGCUCAAGCGCUAUAGAGAAAUAUCUGAAUUCAUUAUAUGAUGGCAAAGAAUGUAGGUUUGGGGGUAAGUUAAGUCUAUGGAAACCGUAUCGAAAGCGAGAUCAGACUGACCUUUAUUGCUGGAAUGAUUCAAUAGUAGCAAAAUGCAUGUAGCCCGGGCCAAAAAGCUUGUUUCCUCUAGAGAGUUUCUCUUCGGCCUUGCCCUCCGCUUCUUCGAACCCGCAAUAUAGCAGCAAGCAAUCCCGCUUCAAAAAGAGAAUAGGGAAUCCCGCUUCAAAAAGAGAAUAGGGAUAGGGUAAGUGAUACCGAAAAAGACAUCAUCAUAGGUUGGGGUAAAGAAAUGAGAUUAUUGCAAUGCCAAGGCAAGAGUGAAUAUGACUUAUUGCAAUGCCAAGGCAAGAGUAGAUAUUAACUUAUUGUCGGGGCCAUCACCUCUGUUACAAGGCAAGAGUAGAUAUUAACUUAUUGUCGGGGCUAUCACCUCUGUGAGAAUAUAUGGAGAUCAUUUAAGUGAUCAAAGCGAAAAAGGAAUUUGGACUUGCAUUGCAGGCUUCUACGAUGGGCGGGAAUCAUAAGAAAGAAAGCCCUAUGAUGUGAAAGCUCCCCGCCCUUACGCCUCACCCUUCUACUCUUGGUUGACGAUCCGGUCCAAGAUUUCCUCAGUUCGGAUUUCUCUACGAAAACUAUCUAGGGAAGAUGAAAACCCAGUUGCUCAAGCACCGCAAAGGUAAUCCUCAUUAUGUUUGUUUGAACGUUCUUCUCCUGUUAUUUAUUAUGAUUAUAGAUAGCAUAUAAAGAAUAUGAUUAUAGAUAGCAUAUAAAGAAAGCAUUUAGUAUAUCUCUUAAUAACUCUCAAACUAUAGCAUAUAAAGAAAGCAUUGAGUAUAUCUAUCUCUUAAUAACUCUCAAACUCAUUCGUGUACAAAGCAGUGCAGACGAAGUCCAAAUCCAUUGCUUGGAAUUACAUCAUCUUUUCGUCUAAGGUCGGAUCGGAUGUAGGCGAAUCCAACCAAGCUAAGUUACAGCCACAUAUAAGAAACCUUGCAUCUAAUCUGAAUCAAUCGUUUGCCUUUGAAUGAGCUCAGUAAAAAGAUAGAGAAUAAGCUCAUUUAACUUCACUAAUGUUUACUGUGACCCCACUUCUCUAGCUGUUGUAAAAACACUAUGUUGGGAAUACUGGCCUCUGGUAAGAUAACAACUAUGAUGCUAUACCCUUUCGAAAACAACUAUGAUGCUAUACCCUUUCAAAAACAGAGUCUCUCCCAUAACUAUCCAAAAGUGGUUCUCUUUCCGAUUACUAUUCUGGGAAAAUCCAAAUAGACCUUGAGUAUUGCGCUUUCAAAAGAGAAAGGUACGGGACCCUCAUGGCACUGAUCGGCCUUGAACGGAAGCUACUUUGUUGGAGAGGGUGUGGAUGCUAAUUCCAAUGUUGGCUAAUGAAAAGGUCUUUCGUCAGUCAGCUAUCUUACCUUCAAUCUGACCUUAAAGUAAACCACCAGUUGUAAGCCGGGUUAGUGAAGCUCUUGACUGUCUUAUCCCUGGUUAGUUAAGCUCGGUUAGUUAAGCUCUUGACUGUCUUAUCCCUGUUCUCACUCAAUCCGGGUUAGUUAAGCUCUCUCUUGCCAGAAGGUGGAAGCAAGGGCGAUUACCCUACCCUUGGGAAGUAACGAUAAUGGUUUCUCCACGGAAUAUGGUGGGAUAUUUGAUUCUAUGUUUGAGUUUUGGGAUGGACUUGGAAUCCACUACUGGCUCAUAGGAUGCUUACUCGGAUUCUGUAACUGGCAAUUCGCAUUCUUCUUAUUAUCUCUAAUACUUGCACUUUGCCCUGGCUUUAGACCCUGACUUUCUUCUUUAGAGUGUAGUGGCUUGGGCAGUUUACGUAGGCAGUUGAGAUGAGCAUUCAAACAUCAAUUCCUUAACAGCUUCCUUUCGAACAGCUUCGCUUCCUCUGUGUCUUCUUCUCCCGCUUCAGAUCCGGAUUUCACCCUCUGAAUGAGAUUUGAGAUUCGAUGAGGCUUCUUAAUAAGAUGAAACAAGCAAUAGGCGAACUUAACUCCACUUUGGGACAGAUACGCUUGCGCCAACACACACCUCUGAUUCUUUAAUGACUAAUUGUUCUAUACAAUCAAGACCCCCGGAUUUCUCUUAUUCUUAUUCAUGGAGCUUCUUUUCUAAGGUUACCUUGAGACUUUCUUUACCGACGGAGAUGAGCAUUCAAAACGAAACUAUUUCCAUAGGAUCAAAGUCGAACAGGCAAUUCUCGGCAUAACACCCAUGUGAGACAGAGCUAAUGUAACUGAAUGAAUACUUUGCCUCUGGCCUGCUAGUCUAGGGAACAUGUGGAGGCAGCCCCCUCUACUGUUUAGUGAGUUUUCUUUUGGGUGUUUUGUUACAGUUGUCCAUUAUAUGUUAGCUCCAUUCCAUUUCUGAAGCGCGUUAGUCAGUUGUUAGGAUAGGGCCUACCAAAUCUUCUUUUGACUUUCCGGGGUAGGUGCCCAUCCGCUUUUCCACUCCAUGCUUUUUGGCCUUCAUUCUAUUCUUUCGAGUGAAGUUAGCCGUUGCACAAGAACAAGCAGUAACUGGUUGGUGGGUUUGGGGAGUUGGGGAUAGCGGUGGCCUAGCUGAUAGAUUCAAGUAAAGAGUCAGGAGUUACUAGUGCGAGGUUACUACUCCUUGGGUCUGAGUCCGGAGUGACUAGUGCUUAGAGGUUAGCACGGAGUGGGUCUAUAAUGUGUCAGUGAGAUUCAUUUCUUUGAAAAGCAAGUUACCAAGUUCCAGCAACAGGCCAAGCGUAUACCUUAUUUCAUGCAAGUUUAGUAUCAAAUAGGGAAUUAGGGAAUCCGAGGUUAGAAGCAGUUCCCAAAGGAAGGGGAAGCAGUCUCUUUACUCAGUGCUAUACCUAGUGAAAAAUCAGAUACUAUUUCUAUCCCUAGUGCUCAAUAAGUGGAAAAAGGUAGAGUUGCCUGUUUAGGUUCCAGUUUCUCAAGAGAAGCAAGCGGUAUCUAAGUCUGGUGGGUGUCCAAGCCUAACUGCCGCUUAGCUCGCUGCCGCCAUGAAUAAAGAGUGAUAACUCGUUAUGACCAAGUCCUGUCCUGUACGGGCUCUGCUCUAUCAGCUGACUCUAAAUCAUAUGUACUACUUCCUGCUUACUUUAAUGCUCUAUCCGCUCUGACUCAAAAAGCAACAGAAUAAGAAGCAACCGGUGCCUCACGCUACUAACUUCUUGUUUCGGGGUUAGGUGGAGCUAGAUCUGGAUCAGAGGCUUGAUCUGUGCCAACUCAAUCGGAUAGUGGAACAAAAACGAUUCUAUCUGUCUGUACCAACUCCAUAAGAGAAAUUCCAUACUGAAGUUUGAGGGUGGUAGGACUUUCCCUUUGCUUUGCAUGCUUGGCGGAACCUUGUAGUGGUCGACCCCUGCUCUAGCUGGUAACUCCACUGAUUCUAGUCGGUGCUGUAGCUACUUGUCGGCGAGUGACAGUUCCUGUUCGAGUUUCAUCAUAUAUAGAUAGAAUAAGAUAAUAUGCUGUGCGGUACCCAUAUAGGUAUAAUAAGAUAAUAUGCUGUGCGGUACCCAGGCGUUGAACCGCUCCUGCCGCGCAAGCGAACAGAGAAUAGUUUUGGUUCAUCUUAAGUCGCUAAUGGAAUGGGAACCGCUCCUUACGCGCAUUCGUGCUGUUGUUCCAAAGGUGGUAUUUUUUUUCACUAAGUCAGGAAAGAAUAAGGUCCGGAAUGAAUGAAGAAGGGAGUUGGUUACAUCAUUCUUUGUCAAUGCUACUCCUUUGUGCGGGGUAGAAGGACUAAUGGAAUUAUCCUAAGGAGAUAGAUUCUUUCUAAGCCUAUCUAUAAGAGGAUGAUAGAAGGCAUAAUUCCGGGGUUUCUAAGAAGGAAGUGGGCUCCAUCCCCCUAUUAUUACCUGAUAGCUCCAUCCUCUUCUUAUGUUUAUUACUUUAACACAAACAAGGGAUUACUGAAACUAUAGCACCGAACCUAGUAGCACCCAAAGCAAAGAGACGAGACUUGAAGUUCAAAACAAACCGCUUGCACCUGCUCUUAACCGGCCAGUACUGGAUUAUUACCUUCGCCCUGCCAGGCAAUUCUUCACUACUCUAAGAUUUCCCGAAACUACUUGUUCUUUCGCCCUGUCCUUGCUUUUCAUUCGCAACUGUAGUUGCUCAUCCCGUUGCUUGGCCCCUUUGCUUCAACUCCCCUUGAGUACCUAAUUGUGGAUUCUCUUGGCAAACUAUACUUUCCUUCCUCUUAUACUUAUUAUUCUGUUACCAAUGACCCAGUACAGGAUUCUUUUAUUCCCGCUUGGCACAAGCUACUACUCAUUCUGUUUUCGGGAGCUCCAGUAGGGAGUUAGUAUGAGUCAUUAAAGUCACAGUUUUAGGGGUCAGCUACUUAUCCCUUCCUUUGGUGACUUUGAUUCUCUAAAUGCUAAGUUAACCUACAUUCCAUUCCACAAGUCCAGUUUUUGGCUACCCCAUAUCUAUUCUCUUAGCGUCUAGACUGCUGACUUUAGACCGAGAUACUUGACUGCUCCUGCUUAUGCUUGAAAGCCUAUAUCCCUUUUUUCCUUUAGCGUGUAAGACCCAUGUUCCUAGUAGCCCCCUAAAACAUAAUGGUCGGUAAGUGAACUCUAUUCUUAAAAGAGAACUAGGUUUGUUAGGUACCCAUAUCUAUGAAAAUAAGGUUGGUCAGGUACCAAUAUCUCUAUGAAAAGAAUAUAUAAGUGUAUAAUAUGCCCUGCUUCUAUAUGAUCUCGUUUAACAAUUCGAUUCUUCUCCUUUAUUCAUCAUGGUUUUGAUGCCCCCUAAGUGGUCCAACCCCAAGCAUGAAAGGUUUACUCGGCAUCAGGAAAGAUAGUUUCAAGUAAGAUAGGUGAAGAAAGUGAUAUUUCAGUAGAAUUUGACUGAGACACAUAUAGACCCAAAGAGCGGUAACCAAAGAGAUAGGUUGGAUUCGAGAUGAUCUUCUUUCUUCUUUAUACGAUGACUUUUCGCACGGCAUCUGAAACUAUAACUGGAACUCUACUUUAUACAGCUAAUUCACCUUAUUCCUCUUCUCCUGAUCCUUCUGAUUUACAAUAUUCUAGUGGAUACUCAACGGAAGAAGAAACUAGCACAGCGUAGCCAAUCACUUCUAUUGGAGACUUUGCGCGCGCACACCUAAUAGCUACUGUUUCCUGCUCUGUGGUGUGGGCAUGAGAUUAGCAUUCGGCUUCUGUAAACUCGGAUGAAACUCAAACCGUAUCAGCUUCAUCAGAAGUGCUAGAUGAUGACCUUCCUUAACCUAGCUUUCCAGUCAAUACUAACCGAUACCCCUCUGCCUGGCUGUGGAAUGAAGUUCAAUCAAAAGAGAAACACAGGAGCCUAAGUAGGCCUAAUUCUGGUAUCAAAUCAAUUGAAUUAGAUGAACUCUAGUUCUUAAAGAAGCAAGUCAAGUUAUCGGUGAAGAAAUAUAAGUGAUAGUGGAAUCUGUAUUAGUUGACUACCCGGUAUUGUAUUAUUAGUAUGAGUAAAGAGGAAAGAAGUUUCAGAGUGCUAGGUGUGUUGGCUACUAGUUUCAUCCCGUAGAGUUAAUGGGUUUACUAAUGAAAUGGAAUCUAAAGCAGAAGCAUCAGAUCUUCUCUCCAACUCUGGAAGUAAGGUUUCAUCUAAUACAAAGAAUAAGGUGCUGAAAGCCUACAAAUACUUACUGAAACUAGCCAAGCUACUAUUGAGGAAGGAAAGAAAGCCAGUUAGUGCAGAGGCUACAAUUGACAAGCUUAAGGAGUAAUGUUGCCCGGAAAGCAGGAUUCCAGUCUCGUUGACUCGGCAGGGAGGAAAGUGAAAGUUCUCUUAGUGCUACAGAAUUGACUACCUCCCGGAAAGCUUAUCUCAAGGCGACAUCCCGGCCAAGCAGACAGCCAGCCAAGAUCCUUCAAUACCAGAUGCGUAAGAUUUGUGAUAUGCGUAAGAUGGGUGAUACGGGUGGUUCCUCUCCUUCAAUGCUUCAAUGAAUAGAUAUAACGGCCAAGCUUAGGAUAGACAAGACACGCAGACAAGUAACUACUCCAUUCCCUCACUGCGGUUGUUACUUUAGCGUAACAUUAUAAGUGUCUUGGCGGGGAUUCAACCAGAACGGGAUCAGGAGCAGUACUAAAGGGAUGGGAUUCCACUCGCCCAGCAGAGCCAGCAGGGUUCAAUGAAUUGUAAACAUUGACUAAGAGAGCUUAGUUACUUAUGGUAAAAGGAAUGAGACCUUCUAAGCCCCAUAACUGCCACUACUGCUAUACCCAAACCAUACCCGAAACUAAGCUUUGGCACUAAGAAUAAGGGAACGAAUAAAGGAACUCUGCCUCUUGCUCUACAACAGUUGUUACCGAGUCCUUUGUUUGGGUUAGUGACUUAUUAACAGCAGUGAAAUCUCAAUAGGGAACUUCACCUUACCCAGUAGCAGUGAAAUCUCCAGCUCGGAAAGCACUCUCCAUUAAGUGGUAAAGAGAAAGGGUUGAUACAAUGCAAUCGGUAACUAUUUCUUUGAUACCUGAAUUCGGCUACUAUACUCUGGUUCCUUGAUACUCUCUCUGCUCUAGCUGUUAGUAACGAGUCCUGUGUGAGCCUGUCCGGUAAGAACUAGUUCGGUUUACAAGGGUUUCGUCAAAGUGGUAUUUACUACUUGUUUAUAGACUUACCCAUCACCUGCAGGCUCUGGCUCUGUGAACUCGGUGGGCAAGGGGCCAAGCAACUUCUAAUGACCAAGCAACGGCGAAAGACGUUGGGCGGUAGCCAAUAAACAGUUCUUACGAAGUUAUUACAAUAUAUGCCUUCGGCGGCAGGAGCCCCGGUAAUAUUAGUGGAAUUCUGGGACGAGUGAGAAGAAGACCGCUACUUAGCUACCCGGCUGCAUUCUGGUUAGCACUAGUUUCAGUAUGUGGCUAGUUAGUGUCAUUCUUAUCUACUACCCUGGAUGCUCUGAUCCACUACCCUAGAUGCUUGGCCCUUUGACAAUAGGUGGUUUAAUAACAUUCUUAUGGAUUAACUCGUUGAUGAAUGGAGGGCCCACUUUACGACGAGAAAGAAUUUGUACUCUAUAAAGCGAUAUUGAGCUGUAGUUAUCAAGUGGUCGUGUACUGUGUCUAUAGGAGAAUCUUUUAUCAACAUUUCUUUGACUACACUCAUUGCGGGCAUCCCUAUAACAUUUCUUUGCCUACACUCAUUGCGGGCAUCCCUCUCGGUCGAUAUUUCAGUAUUCCUAUAUACCCUACAAAAGAUGAAGUCUAUCAUAAACCCGGACUCCAUUAUCAUCUCGUCCUGUACCGUGGUCAAGUUAGGGACUCUCUCGAAAACUGGGUGAUCCCUAGCUGAUGCGAUCCAGCCGAGAUGGCGGAUCAACCGGAUCUUUCAUUCCAUGCCUUAUCUUUCGUUUUACAGAACUUCUAGCACUCGAAGCAUUCUCCUUAUGAUGAGAGAGAUGGUCUUGUUAGAAGGCGAGUAGUCCCUCUUGGAUCUUCUUCCUGCCAUUAGCUAAGAGACAGCUGGAUCGGACCUCUAUCUCGGACUUCCUGAAUUCAUGCUGGUUACAAAGAGAAAUCCACUCGCGGAAUCAGGACCUUGGCCAAAGAUGGAGUAAUAGGUUUCCGGGUAUGUGAGAACUUGUCGUCUUUGUCAGCAGGACCGUCGUGGAGCGGGUUGGAGCCAUUGCCUAUACAACAUCAAAAAGCUUCCAUCGCCCCGGAGAGACUUAGCUUAAUCUGGACGUCUUCCCAUUUCCAUUAAUUCCUUGACUUGUAACGAUAGUUCCUUUAAGACCAGUAUAGGGCUUUCAGGCGCCUGAUCUUAAUGAUAGGUGCGGUGCCGAGUGAAAGGCAAAAGUCAAGAUUACGUGCACCCAUGUCAAAGGUAACCGAGUCAUCGGAAAGGAAAAGGGAAUAGGUGGUUUUGCGCAUCCAAGGAUAAGGGUUUUGUUGCUUAAUAGCGGAUUCGUAGGUUACUAAAAAGAAAGUGGGAUUGGAAAUGGAACUCUCGACCUGACCUGGGGCGGAUAGGAAUUUCGACUUUCAAUGGAAUCAUUGGCUGGAUCGAGAUUAGAGCCCUUUCAUGAGUUUGAGCCCAGAGAGAUACCAAACUAACUGGACCUACUCCAUACACUUUUGGAAAAGUAGGAGCUUGUUAGUUAGUAUUUAUAGUAUGCUGUGGUUAGUGACUUAAUUGUAUCAUAUGCAACCUAAGCUAACGCUGACUUUUCUGUUGUUGCACUGGGCAAUAAUAAAGUAAAGGUGCUUGGCUUUCCCUUCCUUGACCUGACCGCAGGGUUUUUACUGAAUUCUAUUAGAUGAGCGCUCUCUUCAACAAGCAAGGGAACAAGUGAGUUUGUCGGCGCAAGAACAAGUGUAUGAGUGACAGAAGCCCUUUAACGAGGUGAGUUAACCGGCGCAAGAACAAGUGUAUGAGUGACAGAAGCCUUUUCUCGAGUGCUUUUCGACCUUGUAGUUUCAGAGUAGAGUUCCAGAAGUGCUUGUGUGCCAACCGUCCUUUGAAAUGAGUAAACGUUCUUUCUUCAUUGUCAAUAGUGCCCUUUCAGAUGUGUGGUGGGAGACCCGAUCUUAGAUCCUAAAUGGAGUCUCGUUGCAGGAAUGGGAUAAAUAAAGAAAUACUAUUACUGAUUUCAAUGAGAGUGGGAAGGAAGAGAGCAAGGAAGAGGCAUUCUGUUCUAUACUUUAGAGUGAGAAUCCUGGAGAAGAAGAGAAAAUCAUAUAAUCGAUUCUAUAUCCUCCAUAAAAGAAGGAGCUGUUAGUUAACUUAUGUAUGACUGACUUUAUCCAUUUUCAUGUAAUUCUCCAAUCUAUUUCUCUUACCAGCAAGCGGGAACGAAAGAAUAAGCAAUUGGGGGGCAGUAUGGAACUUGAUUCAAUAAUAAGAUAUAAGGCCCAAUGAAACAAACUAACUAACUAUGUUUUGAUUCGGAGGAUUGGGAAGUCAAUAAGAUAAAGUAUAGUAAGGCUUAUGAAUUACAGUACUUGGUGCAGGGAUAUAAUACCCCGUAUAUCAUGAGGCAAGAGAGAUAGAACUUUCUCAUUGCCGAGAGGUUUACUUCAGACUUCGAAGCCUCUAUUUCGGGUGCUUGCUUGAAACCCGGCCCGGCCCUGACUCUUUUUGUUUCCUAUCAAGAACCACUUCCCUUAGGCAACUCCAUUUACUGACUUACUAUUUCUCUAUCUCCAUAUGCCUCUGUCUAUCUUCCGACUAUUUCUCUAUCUCCAUAUGCCUCUGUCUAUCUUCCCCUUUUCCACGGGCUGGCUAAUCGAGUGAGUGCUUUUUGUGCAGAAAGAGUUAGGUAAGAAGGAAAGUUCUCAGAUACAGCAAUGCUUCUCUCUGGGAAAAAAACACUUGAUGAGGCUUCCUUACCAGAAGAGAAAGAGAAAGGAGAUGGACUGAUUCUAUGGUAGUGUUUAUUGCUUUCAACCUCCUCAAUUUCCUUCUCUCGUAUGCCAUCUGAGGACCUUGAUCCCCACUAUAGUAGCCCGAGUAAGAAAGUCCAAAUAUUCAAAUAAUGGAAAAACGCGAAGUUGACAGUUCUCUUUUUGCUAGAUUGACCUGACUUCAUUCGUGAAAAUCCGAACCUAUUGUAUUCCUGGCUGGAUCAGACCUCUAUGGGCCGAGCUCGUUCUUUCAUUUUAGGGAUUUUCUUAAAGGAAAGAGAAUUCUCUGGAUUGGAAAGUGCCCCCAGGUACGUAGACCUCGAUCCAAGCCCUUUUGUUACGUUAAUGGGAUAUCUGCUUUGGCAUUUCCCAAGUUCCGUUCUUCUAAAGCUUUGAUUCUUGAAACCUUAUUUCUUUGAUUUCCUUUGGAGCGGUAGAGAAAAAGAAGUAGACUCUCGUUAACUAAUUCGAAAAAGCAUGCUUAGAAACGUCUCUCUUUUGGAGGGUUGGAAGAAUCUAAUAUGAACAUGGAUUUCUAGUCCUUAAGUGUUGUAUAUUUUAUGGUUCUUUUUAUAUGAAAGCGGAUUGGAGACUUGACCGCGUUAAGCUAGCCCUCCGAACCGCUCUCGCUCGAUCAUUUGAAUAGGGGAAGUCAUCAGCUAAAAAAACUCCUGCAAGCCGCCCACUAAGUAAGAGCUCUGGCAAAUCAUUGAAUAGGAGUGUUGGAAAGCACUCAACUCAAACCUGCGCAGGAACAAGUAUAGUUGAGAGAGGUCGGGCCGGGUGUUAGUGUUUAAGUAGAGUUAUUGUGCGAAGAAAAUCCAGUAUAGGGUCGAAUGGCCUGAGUGUCCCGCUGCUUAGCCUUGUGAAACUGAUUGUACUGCUGGAGCAAUUGUGAAACUGAUUGUACUGCUGGAGCAAGUAGGUUCGAUAGGUGGGGUAUAUUUCCGAGUGGAGAUAGGUUGGGGAAGAAGAAAGUGUAUAUCCUAUAGAAGCAGGACUAUAAGCAAGAUCCGAAAGAGUUCAUUCCGUUUCUGUCGAGGUCCAGUCUCAAGUCGAGUCACAGUUCAAGUCAGAGUGAAGUCGACAACUUAAGAAGCAGUUUCAAGAGACGGAUCAGGCUCAGAACGGAAAGUCGAAGGUUGAGACAGAAUCUAAUCUAAAGUAAGCUGUUAUAGCAGUUGAAACAGAGGAAGCAGUGGUCUUUACCCGCAAUUAAUAAGUUAGCAAGUCCUUUUGAUUAGGCUAAGGCGUCAGUUAAUGAUUUUCCUGGUUGGUUGACCCGGGUUGGUUGGUUUACCCGGCACUUUUCAUCGUAUUUAGAAAGAAGCUCUGCUGAGGUGCUCUAGCUCUAAGUCUACGAGAUAAGAAACAAGUUGGUAUAGAACCAGAAUAAGGAACAGUGGAAUAAGUAUCUUCAGCAAUAGAUGGGGCAAGUCUUGUUGAGGUCGAGGUGAAAGUCAGAGUAUAAAGUAGGCGGGAAGUUGUUAAUUGUUCAAGAAAACAGUAGAUGUAGGAUUCCUUAUAAGGCCUUGAUCCAGGUCUGAUAGCUAGAAGAUGGAUAACCACCGAUUUGAUAAGAAAGUAACAACACAGCGAUACUUACAUGUUGAUGGAAGAAAGUAACCGAACAGCGAUACUUACAUGUUGAACAAAUUGCUUCUCAACUCACUACUGACUUAUGGAACUUGAAUGAAUUGGGGCUGACUGACCUUUUAGGUAUCGAAUUAUUGCGCAUGUCGUUUGUUGCUAGCGUUACUAAUGAUGUUUCUAUAGCUUAUUUCCUAGUAGCUCUGUUAGCGAGUUUGGCACUGCUUACAAUUAUUCCGCUUCCUAUGUGGGUGGUUCAUUGAUGUGUUGAAGCAGCGCUAUAGGAUGCUUGAGUUUGCUAGCUAACGGGUUAACCCAAUUUCCAUGAAGGCACUUUCUUUGGUCGAGAGAGAUCAACUCUACUGUCUUUUGAUUCUCGUUAUGUAAGCCUUAACCACGCAGUCUAUAGAUAGAGUUGGGACAGGCAAUACUUAACUACACUUUCCUUUCGAACUGCAAUGGAAUCUUUGGACCACCAAUAAUAGAGUAAUUAAUAACACUGUUUCUUUUCUUAUAAGCUAGUCCUCUUAUUCUCUUGCCGACCUUACCUCUACAUGAAGUUCAUAAUUGGAUUUGAUCUCUCUUGUACAUGGUAUAGCAUUUGAGUGUAAAGAUACGGAACUUGUCCUUGUUUGUUGCGCUAACGGAGCUGACGGUUAUGCAUUAGCUUACUUUCCAGGGUGUCAAUAUUCAUGAGAUAGUUUUUGAGUGUUGUAGAGUUUCGCAGUGUGGUUAGAUAGAGCAUGAGCUGGAUCUGAAUUAGGAUAUUAAGCAUAAGAGGGAGCAGGAGUAGUGUGCGAAUCCCUUAAUGGAUAAAGUAAUGCAAUCAAACAAACAUGUGAACAAAACUCACUAGCAAACUCGGUAAUGUAAGCUUAUUCUCGGGAUGCGUUAGUGAGCUCGGGCUCGGGGCUAAUACUUAGCUUCUUUUCCGGAACUUGACUUUCCGUGGGCAGCGGAUUCUCGAGUGGACUUGAAUUGAUUUGCUGCUGACUUUAUACUCUUACUUUUCACUACUUAUGCUGACUUACUUUAUGCUGCUGAUUAAGAUUAUGCUGAUUACUCUUAUUCUCUAAUUACAAUAAUCAUAUUAUAUACGAUCGAUUGCCCUUACUUAUUAAGGCUUGCCCGAACUACACUACAUUGCCAACACAACACCGAUUUGCUUCCCGUAUCAAGCAUCUGAUAUUCUCAUUUCGGAAUGGAAUGAAAGCUUACGGAGUUUUGCUUCAUCUAGCGUUAGGCGAGUUCCAGUUAUUUGUUCGAGUCGAUACUCUUACUCUAGAUGAGGUCAAUUCGAAUCCUCGGACACUACAUCACGGGCUCUUUACAGAAAGAGUGGCCCAUAGCAAUAGCUUUUAGGGAUUCUCGAUCCUCUAAAGUCCGCCUUUUUCGAGAUGUACGGAAAAGGAUCCCCUGGCUUUCUUAAUAGCUUCUUAUUAACUUGCCCUAGUUUCAAUACUCCUUUACUAGUUUCGACUGGCUUUCCUUUCUCAAGUCCCCACGGCAAAUAAUACAACGUUAUCGAAAGCUUCAUUUUCCAGGAAAGGAUGGCUUCAUUUAGGUGUUAAUCUAACUCAGCUCAAUCUAUUCGCUCACUUAGGAAUAAAUGACUUUAACUCGAUGUAUUUCCCUUGCUUGCUUUACGAAACUAGAUUUCACGGAACUAGCAAGAGUGCGAGUAUAAGAGGCCCUUUCAAUAAACCCUUUCAGUAUUACCUACUCUCGAUAGAAACUCUUUUCUCGCCUACCCUUCGCCACGUCAACAGGAUCACUGGGUACUCCAACAAAGGCUGGCAAGCACUUUCACAAUGGAUAUGAUUAUUUUGGCACAAAGCUUAUUAGAGUAUUCUUCCAAAGCAUGUUCUAUAAAGCAUGUUCCUUCUAUAAAGCAUGGAUAGCCGGAAACUAGCAAUAUUACAAGAGAGAAAAGCCACUCUAUCUGAAUCGAAGGUGCUUGCAACUUCACUUACGAGGGACAAACAAACUUGAUGGUAUCUUGUGUCAAUGGUAGCUGGAUGGCCCAGUUAAAGCUCUCCGCAAUCAGAAUAUCCGGCAUUCUUUCUAUCAGCCUCCGAUAAUGGGCAUUGAGCUUGAGAAAAUGUGGAUAACCUGCCUAUAAAGAAAGGUGCUGCAAGCCUUAGAAACGAAAGAAAUUGAUACCAUCGAUAUAGUCUUCGAUUCAACUCGAAAGAAAGUCGAACCUAGAAAAACGAGAGAGAUAUUUGCUAAUCAGGCUCCCCUCCAGGGGUCUCGGGAUAGCAUAGCAAGUGAAAAAGCUGGGAAAAAGCCCAUUUUGGAUGAGGACGUGUGUGGUCGCUGAAAGCCACUACUAUUCCUGAAGUAACGGAGUUCUGAGAACAAGAGGGAUGUGGUGACUAGCCAAGUGGAAUAUGUCAGGCACUCUCCCAGUUAAUUGAUUAGAGCAGGUUGGAAAAGCGUUACUUAAUUGUUUGAAAACUAGAUACAUUCUAGGCUCUUACGUGAAGAUCACUUACCAGCUCUCUAUUGACUUGACUCUAAUAGCCAUAACUAUUCUAGCCUUACUGGCGGAGUUAGGUUCUCUGAUGAGUCUCCCCUUCUUCCGGUUGCUGCCGAAGUAUAUGCUCCGCUUUGGUUAAUAUCCUUGUGCUAUAGCUAUCUUUGCUUACAAUUUGACCGAUAUAAAAGGCGCUUCAUUAAUCUAUCCCUCCCUAAACUAGCUGUUUAGCAUCUUCAAGCUUGGGAAAGAGUGCUCAGAGUAUAUCGGCUAUGUGCUGCCUAUGUUGACUUGGAGGUCCUAAGCACGUAUCUAUCUCUCUUCCUCUCUUCGCUUUGGACUUAAUAGAUUGAAACCCGUUUUUGGAGUGCAAAAUGCCUUUGCUUUGUUUUACCCCUGUCUUUCUUUCUUAUUAAGAGUUUCGUUAUUUGUUUCUUCCCUAUAUAUAUAAGAGUUUCGUUAUUUCUUUCUUUCCUAUAUAUAUAAGAGUUUAUUAGUUAUUUGUUUCUUCUUUUUCUUUCUUAUAUAUAUAAGAGUUUCUUUCUUUCUGAUUUUGCACUUCACUUCUUAUUUGUGUUUGUGUUAGUUUUUCGAAAAACCUUUGCCGAGGAGCUCAUAUAGCGCCAAACAUAAGUCUAAAGGAGAUCGAUAGGGUCCACGGCUCGCUCUUUAGAGAGGAAACACUAAAUGGGAGCCGAUGGCAUUACAUUGACAUGAUUUACAAACGGAGCUGGAACUCGAGGUAGAGGAAAAGGGGGGCAAGGAGGAUGACUUUCUUAUAUAUUUUCGAAUUCGAGAUGAGGGAUGAGCGAGACGCUUGUGCCAAUAACACAUUGGAUGGGAGCCUUCUCUUCUCUGGCUAAAGGUUUUGCCGCGGGAACUCGCACAGAGGCCUUAAACUAAUCAACAUCAUCCUUAUUCGGGCCUCCAUGUAGAAAUCAACCUCGUACGCUGAUCCUUCACCCCCCAAUUCGAUGGGAAAAAGGAAAUGGAAAGUGUCUUGCAGAACAGAGAAACGGAGAAUUUCUUCUUUGUUAAUAGAUGGAACACUAAUAGAGGUUUUUUGAUCUAACAUGUGUUAUACCCAAACCGGAUCCAUCACCUAGAACGAUCUCAUCAGGCCCUUUCAUACUCAUAGUUCAGAGAGAGAUUGCUUAAGUCACUGGUAACACUCUUAGAGGCAGCCGAGUAAACAAGCCAUCCUUUCUUGAUGGGGGGAGAGGACGACGCACAGUUGGCUACAGGAUCCUUAGUUUGGUGGUGCGCGAGGACAUUUUCCGGCGGUGUGGCCGGCUCUUCCAGGUCAUUAGUUUUAGUUGUUAGUUUACACACUCUUUUUUCACCUUGGGCUUUCUGUCCAUUUCGGUUAUUGCUCUAUUUGUUUGCUUGAUUGUUAUUGCUGAGCGAGUGUAAUUGGCUGUUGCUAUGGAUACAUCACUACCAGCUUCUUUUCUUAUAAGAGACCCCUCAUAUGCCACCAGCUUCUUACCCCUCAUAUGCCACCAGCUUCUCAUGCAACUCCUCAAAGGUUAUGGGAUUUUCUCGUGCACGAACCAGCAAUCUCCUUUCACUCUGACCAUUCUUAGCAUUCAUAACGAUAUCGUCCUCAGCCAAUGGUGCAUCAAUGAUGGCUAACUCAUCUUAGAUAGUAUUUCUCUGUUGUGCAAGUCUUUUGCCACAGGUUUCGAGUCAUGGCGAGUGAGGGUGAGCCGCUCUUUCUGAUUCAUAACUCUUGAGCGAGAUCUAUUUGCAUAAAGUUUGCCAAGCUUCGUCUAGGCUUCAUGAGAUGUUUUUUCAGAUGCUAUAAGAGGCAUGCCCUAUUCUGAGACUGAUGCAAUGAUAGCAUGCAGCAACAACGGAUCCUGUCGAACCCAAUAGGUGUAGGAUUUGGUGAGACCGAGUGAUUAAAGGGCACCCAUCCUGAACAACGGUCUUUCGAAGGGCAUGGCACAGAGCCAUCAACAAAGCCCAUCAGGUCAUAACCAAGAAAAGCUGCGAGUGGAACUGAGAACGCCAUGAUGGAAAAUUCAUGGGCUUGAGUUUCGUUUCAGAGGUGACUGGGCAGCGGCAUUGAUCGAAAUAAGGGCGCUGCUCGAAGCGAGUCAAGUAUAUGUAUAGACAACCACGUGAGCGGCAGUUGAGUGUUAUUGGAUGCCAUGGGGGGUGCUUUUCUCUCUUGCUCGUUGGAGCGUGAUUGCUCCGUUACCAUGUUCUACAAUCAUGUGCUCCAAAUUCCGCUAUCAUAGGCCUAAUAUUCUAGUGUUGCAUCUAUCGCCUCUGGGCUUUCUUUUCUAUUUCUUUCACAAUGAAAACGUCGUGCAGAUGCUCAGGUGCCUACGGCUGGCUGGUCAAAUAACAGGGAAUCAGAUUAUACAAAAGAGAAACUCCAAUGCAAGAGACAGAAGAGAGAUAAUGGGUUUCUAUGAAUUGGCCUGUCCUACGAAUAGGCGCUGUCCAGAGUUCCACUUUCGGCUUGGAUGGAAUUGCUUAAGGAAAGGCUACUUAUUUCUUCCCUUCCUAUUUCAUUGGAGUGCCUACUCUUGCUCGAAAUUAUGAGAAAACUCCCACCUUGAAGAGAGCUAAAUGAAAACCAACAAUAGGACUGAAUGAAAGCGCCAUCACCCAAGGACGGAACCUUUCCUAUACCAGUACUUAAGCAAGAGACUCUUAUAAGUCCAAUACUGAUCAACGAAUAGAAUGAUUUUGCCGUAUCGGGGGAAGCGCUGAUUCAAAAGACUGAUCUUUCUGACUCAUUUUCUGACAUUGCCUUCUCUUUCUGACAUGAGACUUCUCUUUCUUUCAAAGGGUAACUAGCCUAAGAGUCACUUCCGAAGCGCAACGUAUGGGACGAAAUCCGGCAUUGCUAGCUCUGAAUGAAAUAGAUCCAAUCCACUAUGAAGGCAAUGGGUCUGGUCUGAGAAAAGAUAGGGCCACGCCCCUACUGCCUAUAGAAUGAUUGCCAUUAAACACACUAUAUAUAUGGAUAAAGGAUGGAAUGGAAUGAAAGAAACUCCUACUGCCUAUAGAAUGAUUGCAAUUUCCAUAUAUAUAUCCAUAUGGAUAAAGGAUAGAAUUGAUAGAAACCCCUACUGCCUAUAUUCAAUUGAUAUUCUACUUUGAUGGAUGGAAUUGAUAGAGAAAGAAAGCACCGUCAAGAUCUCGAACGGUUGAGGCGCUUUUUCUUAUCCAUAGAAAACAGAAAAGAACUUCCUUCGCGAGGAGCCUUUGAAUCGAUGCACCGAAGAAAGGAAAGAUCGAGAUGCCCUUUUAUCAACAUCACGGAAUCGUCGAGAAUGAUGAAUUGGCUAUUUGAAAAUAGGAAGAAAACCACAGCAUGUAAGGUUUCGGUCCAUCUUACCAUAUAAGGAAAAGCCCCAGAUACUUGAUCUGAUUCCCACUACUAUUUAUUAGCUUAAGUCACCAGACCUAUCAGACAGGGAUAAUCAUUCUGGUCCUGUCCUCUGGGGGAAUAACUUCUGAGACCUUAGAGCAAGUGUAAAGACCAAUCCAGCAGCAAAGCAAAAUAGCUGCCCCGUUGUCUUACCCGCCAAAAGGAAAAGCAGACAGACCCAUUCGAUGCAAUCCAUGGUAGUUGUGCCUUAGCGAGCUCUU